UUCCUUCCCAGAAAGAGGACUUCCCAACACGAUUUCAAAUCUUGUAUCGUUUCCAGAAGAAGGUUUUCCUACCAAUCUAACAUCACUUACAAUUGGAUAUUUCAAAAUGUAUAAGACACUCGUCCAGUGGGGGUUGCACAGGCUUACCUCUCUUAAACGCCUCUGCAUCAUUGGAUGUGAUGAUGAAGCAGAGUGUUUUCCAGACGAGGAGAUAGGAAUGACGCUGCCCACCUCUCUCACUCAUCUGACACUUUCGGAAUUCAAAAAAUUGAUAUCUCUGUCUUCGACGGGUAUUCAGAGCCUCAACUCUCUUCAAUCUUUGUCGAUCGGGAAUUGCCCGAAUCUCACAUCAUUUCCAGAGGUGGGCCUUCCAUCCUCACUUUUGGAAUUACACAUUUACAGUUGUCCAAAGCUUAAAAAAGCGUGCAAAAGAGAUCAAGGAAAAGACUGGCCCAAAAUUGCUCACAUCCCUUUCGUUGAGAUAGACGGUAAAUUCAUAUACGAUCCCGAAUCAGAGGAGUAGAUUCUAUUACACAGGUCAGUUGAUUUAUAUUAUCCGCUAUAACAAGCUCCUCCUUUUUUAUUUUUUUUAAAUAAUAAUUUUGCAGUCAGUCACGUGAUUCCGUUUUCACAAGUCAGAUUGUAUGUUGAGGCUAUUUGCCUUUUAAUCGCAGAUUAAAUUAUAACACUUAUCUUAAAAUUUAAUACCAUAGACAGAUAGACGAUUUUUUAAUCCAAAGUUUUUUUUAUUCACUUCAGUUAGCAUUUUUUUUUCCCCCAAAUCAUGCAAGCCGAGAGUUUCAAUCAAGAAUUGGAGGAUGUGAAUGGGAUUUUUGUGAAAGAGUAACAUAAUGGAUGACCGAACAUUUCAUCUGUGAUCUCAAAGUCAACAGAAUUUUAUUCACUCAUUGACUUUUCAACUGCCGUGGUUUUUAUGGGUGAAAGAUAAGGGCAAUUACAAAAAAUUUGCAAAAUUUGUCAAUUUCUUAGAUGGUAGAUAUAUCGACAUUUUAGAUUUCAGAUAUUUGUCACCAAUUUGCAAAAUUGAAAUUUCUGUCUUCAAUGGGUUUUCAAAGCCUCGCCUCUCUUCGAUUUUUGUGGAUUGGGAAUUGCACAAAUCUCACAUCAUUUCCCGAGGUCGAGGAAAAGAGCGGCCCAAACUUGCUCGCAUCCCUUGGGUUAUGAUAGAUGGAAAAUUCAUGUACGAUCCAGUCAGAGGUGUUGAUUCUCUUAUUAAGGUCAGCUGAUUUCUAUUAUCCACUCUGACAAUCUCCUAUUAGUGUUUUUCCUUUUUUUUUUUUCAAAAUUUUGCAGUUCUGUAUAAUUGAAAAUGCCACUCACUUGUUUCCUUUUUCACAGGUCAGAUAGUAUGUUGAGGCUAUUUGAUUUCUAUCGGUGUUUGUUAAGGUAAUUAGUGCUCCCUCAUAGGUAUGACUAGAUUUUUUUCACUUCCGUAAAUAUUGCAUUUUAGACUGGCAAAUUUAGCAGUAAUUUUAAUACAAUUUUGUUGGUGCCUUGUGUGCCAGAAGCUAGAAAAAUGUGUAGUUUUCAGAUAAGGAGUCUUGUUAGUUCUCUAGUAAGAAUCCAAUAAUUUGCUUUUGCACGUCCAUCUAAUUUGUGGAUCCUUGCAUCAGAAUUUGAUCAAUCCAAAGGAAUUGCUUUUAGACAGAAGAAGAAUAGCAGCACCUAGCCUAUGUCAUAGUGUAUGGACCCGCAAACCUGAAACUAUUAGAUUGAGGUAAAAAAAUCAUUGACCCUCACAUGUUAACUUCUUCUAGUUACUUUUGUUGGGAAAAAAAAACAUUUAAGGAAUUUGCAAUUUGUUGUUAGUUAUGGUAUCUGAUGUUCUUUUCUGUUUUAGCGUUUGUAGAAUCUACGGUAUUAUGUGUUGGCAGUUGCCGUAUCUGAGGUAACUUGCCUUUAUUUGUUUGCUUCUGACUUAAGGACACCAACAUUUGCCAGAGAUUUAGAGAAGCAUCUCAAAACACUUAGCAAACUUGACAAACUUCAAGAUGCACUUGCCCCCACGCCUUAUUCUCCACAACGCAAAACUUGUGAGUACACUUAUGCCUGCAAUUAUUGUGAAGUGUUUGCAAUUUCGAUGCAGAGAAAUGGUUUCUUGAUGCAAAGUAUUAAACUGUUAAGAUUUAUCCUGCAGGCUUGUUAGAUGUUGUAUACUCGAAAAGCCAACAACAUCAAGAACUACAACUCCAAGACCAACUUUGCAUUAAUUCAGUCAGCUGUAAAAAUGAUGCAAAUGACACUAUAUCAAGCUGGACUUAGAGACUAGUCAGAUCAAUCAUCCAUUUCAUCAACGGUUAAUGUCAUGAUGGUGGCUAUCAGAGGAAACAAAAGAUGUGUCAGAAUCUAUACGAACAUUGAGAAGCAUGAGAGGAGCUUUGAUUUUGAGUAGGGUCAAUGAACUCAUGUUGGUAAGUGGUGAUUAAAGAAAUUUGUAAGCUUAGUAGAGUUUCAGUAUUUUCUGUUUGGAGUAUAGUUGAUAAGUUGACUCUGUUUAAGAAGCCCGAUUAUAGUAGCUGACUGUAUUAACCUUUUUUUUUUUGGUCUGCUGUUGUUUUUGGUUUCGAUUAUUUUUUCAACAUUGGGUUGAUCUGUUGAAGAACAAGCUUGGGUUUGAUUAUGUUUUAACUAUAAGGAAGAGCCAGACUUGGUUGCAGGCGUUAAGCUUUUAAUGGGUAAGAACAAAUGAAUGCUUUAACCAUGUUUCUCACUUAUUAAAAUGCAUGGAUUGAAGGCAUCUGGGUUGAUCCUGACAAUGUGAUGGAAAUACUUCUCUGUUUUCAUGUAACAGGACAAAUAGAGAUCUCUGAUCAUGCCUGAAUUUUUGUUGCAUUGAAAUUUCUACCAUUACCAAACAUAGAAUGAACUGGGGAUACAUUAGCUUAAGACUCAAUUUUGAGAAGGAAGUUUGUACUUGCAGCCUAUAAAAUCAUGUCCGUGUCGUACGUUUCUUUGGGAAAUGAAAGAUUCUGUGUGUUCUUUUAUUUCAAGUUCACUGAAAUCACAUUUGUUUUCUCCGAUGCUUUCCAGAAGGUAACAACAUCAAUUUCAAAAAUGCUGGGGCAAGAUGCAUCAUGCAGUGCGACUCAACUUGAGAAUUCCUGGCCACAUUACCCGUAUGUCGAAUGAUCGCACAGUUCAACCUUGAGAAGCUUGUAAUGAGUACACAACUGGGUGCAAGUAGUUUUGAAAUGAAUUUGCCUCAAAUGAUUUCUUGCUCGCAUCCCUUGGGUUAUGAUAGAUGGAAAAUUCAUAUACGAUCCAGAGUCAGAGGUGUUGAUUCUCUUAUUAAGGUCAGCUGAUUUCUAUUAUCCACUCUGACAAACUCCAAGACCGGGUUUUUUUUUUUUUUUAAUUUUGCCGUUCUGUAUAAUUGAAAUGCCACUCACUUGUUUCCUUCUUCACAGGUCCGAUAGUAUGUUGAGGCUAUUUGCUUUUUAUCGGUGUUUGUCAAGGUAAUUAGUGCUGCCUCAUAGGUUGAUUACUCACAGAUGAAAUCAUAACUUUUAUCUUAAAAUUUAAUAGCAUACACAGAUAGAUGAUUUUUAGUCCAAAGUUUUUUUAUUCACUUCAAUCAAAAUUUUAGAUUGCAGAUUUUUGUCAAGUAUUUCAUUACAAUUUUUUCAUUUUUUAUUUUAAACCAGAAUAUGAGUAUAACAUUUUGGAGCGUGCAUACUCUGAUGCAUGCAAUUAACUGUUUUUAAUCAUUGGAUUUUGAAAUUAAUAAUGGUAAGAUGUGUACUUAUUCUGUCUUCCAACAACCUUGGCCUCUUUCUUCGGUCGCAUAUCUAAUGAAUAUUUCUCUGUUUAGUUAAGGAUGAAUGCUUGGAGUGGGGUACUUGGUAACAUUUCUGCCUCAGAUGAAUCCUUGAAGAAAUGCCCGCAGUUCCUGAGACCAAAUACAGGUCUGAUUCAAAACAGCACCUUUCUCAGAAAAUAUGAUCCAAGGCAAAGUCAUGUUCUGAUAAUGUUUCCUUAAGUACAAAGUUGCAAGGAAACUUGAUUCAUUAACUACAGUUUUUUAUUUUUAGGACCUUGUAUCUGAAAGGUUCAGUGUUUUUUUUUUUUUCAAAUUUAUUGUUCAGAUCUCAGAGGAGUAUAUGGUUUAGAUUACAAAACACCCAUGAUUAAUUUCAUUUUUUUUUUAAUUUCAGGGAGAAGAAGUGGUCAGUUUCAAUCCGGAAUUGGAAUAUGGCAAUUUGGUUCAAGCACACACACCUGGUCACUUGGUCAGUGAACCUGAACUUUACGCAGUUUUUUCAACUCAGUGAUUUUUGGAACGCAUAGUGGUGUAAGGAAAUCAAAAGAAAUUUAUGCAUAGUCAAAUUCUGAUAUUUGCUAUAUAUUAUACAUUCUAAAGUUUCUCCAGUUUGUUCUCAGAUUACCAUCAUUUUUUGCCUUCACCAAAAAAAAAAAAUUGAGUGGCUUUCCAGUGGAUAUUUAAUCGGAGGUAUGACUGGAUUUUUUUCACUUCUGUAAAUCUUGCAUUUUAAACUGGCAAAUUUAACUUUAAUUUUAAUACGACUUUGUUGGUGCCUUGUGCCCCAGAAACUAGAAAGAUGUGUAGUUUUCAGAUAAAGGGGCUUGUAAAUUCUCUAGUAAGAAUCCAAUAAUUUGCUUUUGCACGUUCAUUUUAUUUGUGGAUCCUUGCAUCUGAAUUUAAUCAAUCCAAAAGGAAUUGCUUUUAGACAGAAGAAGAAUAGCAGUACCUAGCCUAUGACAUAGUAUAUGGACCUGCAAACCUGAAACUAUUAGUUUGAGGUAAAAAAUUCAUGACCCUCACAUGUUAACUUUCAUGAAAAACACAUUUAAGAAAUUUGCAAUUUUUUGUUAGUUUCGUAUCCGAUGUUGUUUUCUGUUUUAGCAUUUGUAGAAUCUACUGUAUUAUAUUUUGGCAGUUGCAGUAUCUGAGGUAUGUUUUGCAUUUAACUUGCUUUAUUUGUUUUGCUUGUGACUUAAGAACACCAAUAUUUGCCAGAGAUUUAGAGAAGCAUAUCAAGCUGCUUGGCAAACUUGACAAACUUCAAGAUCCUCCAUUCUUCACAACGCAAAACUUGUAAGUACACCUAUGCCCGCAGUUAUUGUGAAAUGCUUGCAAUUUUGAUGCGCUGAAAUGGUUUGUUGAUGCAAAGGUUUAAACUUUUAAGAUUUACCCUGCAGGGUAGUUGGAUGCUGUAUACUCGAAAAGCGACCAACAUCAAGAACUAUGACUCCAAGACCGGGUUUGCUUUAAUUCAAUCAGCUGAAAUCAUGAUGCAAACGACACUAUCAGCUGGACUUAGAGACCGGUCAGAUCAAUCAUCCAUUUUAUCAACAGUUAAUGUCAUGAUGGUGGCUAUUAGAGGAAACAAAGGAUGUGUCGGAAUCAAUGUGAACAGUGAGAAGAAUGAGAGGAGCUUUGAUUAUACGUAGGCUCAAUGAACUCAUGCUGGUAAGUGGUAAUUAAAGAAAUUUGUGCGCUUAGUAGCAUUUCAAUAUUUUCUGUUUGGGAUAUAGUUGAUGAGUUGAUACUCUGAUUAAGAAGCCUGAUUAUAGUAGCUGACUUUUUUUUUGUGGUUUGCUGUUGAUUUUUCUUUUGAUUUUUUCAACAUUAGGUUGAUCUGUUGAAGAACAAGCUUGGGUUGAUUAUGCUUUAACUACAAGGAAGAGCCAGACUUGGAUGCAGGCGUUCAGCUUUUAAUGGGUAAGAACAAAUGUAUGCUUUAAACAUGUUUCUCACUUAUUACAAUGCACGCAUUGAAGGCAUCUGAGCUGAUCCUGAAAAAGUGAUGGAAAUACUUCUCUGUUUACAUAAAACAGGACAAGAGAUCUCUGAUCAUGCCUGAGAAUUAGUUGCAUUGAAAUUUCUACCAUUGCCAAAAAUAGAAUAAACUAGGAAUACAUUAGCUUAAGACUCAAGUUUGAGAAGGCAGUUUGUACAUGCAGCCUAAAAAAUCAUGUCUGUGUUGUAUACUUGUAUGUUUCUUUGGGAAAUGAAAGAUUCUGUGUGUUCUAUUAUUUCAAGUUUGCUGAAAUCACAUUUGUUUUCUUAGAUGCUUUUGAGAAGGUAACAACAUCAAUUUCAAAAAUGCUGGGGUAACAUGCAUCACGCAGUGCUACUCAACAUGAGAAUUCCGGCCGCAUUACCUGUAUGUUGAGUGAUCGCACAGUACAGCCUUUAGAAGCUUGUAAGGAGUAGACAACUAGAUGUGAGUAGUUUCAAUAUGGAUUCGCAUCAAAUGAUCUCUUGCCAGUGAUUACUAUAACCUCUAUCCCAAAAUUCUUGGAACUGGUCAUACCAAUAAUGAAGUGUUGUGUAUGUUGAAGACAUUGCGAAAGCUCCGUCAGCCUUUGUAUUGGAAAACAGUUGGUUGUAGUUGCUUCUGAAUGAUAUUAUUAAUAGAUACUGUAAAAAUGAACUGUGCCACUCAUUUUCAGAGCCCUGUUAAGAUGUGUUGGUAAUGUGUUUGAAGGUUGUUUGAUUUAUGUUGUAUUCAGCUAUAAAUCAAAGAUUCAGAACAUGGUUAUGUUACUGGUUUCCAAAUCAAAAAAUUGCCUUGUGAUGUUAGUGUUCAUUGUUUUCACAGGAGAUCAGGUUCCCUGUUGAUGAAUCAUUAAGGCAAACGCAUCCAUGUCUUAAGUUCAAAUGUGUCUCUUCUAUUUUCUAUUACUGACUCCUUUAUUUUGAUUUCUUCAUUGUAAUGGAAUUGGUUUUUAUUCCAAAUUAGUCUUAAGUUCUGUUAGCAUUUGAAGAUAGAACUAGAACUAAAUGAUUGACUGGAUUAAAUUCCGAUAAAGAAUUAAGUUAUAUAUUUAGAGAUAUUAUGUUUUUUUUUUUUUCAUUUGUUCAAUUUGGUUAGUGGUGAUUUCUUAAAGACUCAAUCCAUGUGCGUUUAUGCAUUUUUCUUUUGCCUUAAUUUCUGUUUCUUGGGGAGUUUAUACAGAUUCUUAUUUUAUGCUUCACAUGCCACAUGAAAGAUCGAAUUCUUAUAAUAAGAGUCUGAGAUCUCCCUGAAGGAUUCAAAGCAUUUUAUUUUAUAUUAAACUCCUUUACGUGGGUUUGGACACUACCACAAGUUCUUUAAAUACUAAAACGAUUUUAAGUCUUUUGUAUCAUCUGAUUGAAAUACAUGAAAGCACUCGUGGCUGCAAAAAUACAGUUGGGGCUAUUUCUAAAGUCUUCAACAGCAUUUUCUUUUUAACCUUUAUCCUCAUGGUUGUUUUUGCAGUUGUUCUUUAAGAAAACAUUUAAAAGGUUCUCUUUAUGGAUUUUUGAAAAUAAUUUUAACAUAAGCAAUUUUCAGAAGCACUUUAGAUGUCUGGCAUUUAGAAAAUUUUAUUCCGGUGUCACAUAAAAUACUUAGGAAGUUAAAUUUAUUUAUUUAUGAGCAUGUGCCAGUGCCCUGUGGCAUCCUCUUCACUUGUGAUAGUCAAAUGUAUUAUACGAUACAAUAUUAGCUUGACUGUAGCACAGAGGAGAAUAGGGUUGGUGUUGGUCUGAACCAGCUUAUGUAACAGCUGCCAAAGGAUAAUUUAAUUGUACUUUGAGUAAAGCUUUUGCAAAUUAAACAAGUGAUAAUUUGUUUCUAUUAAGAAAAACUUAAAGGAUAGGGCUAUUUUAACUCACCAAACUACACAUUAAAAAUCUACUUACAAAAAUAGUUUUUAAUUAUUAAAAUAUUCCUAAAUUAAAUUAUAAUUAUGGACACUAAAAUAUAAUUUUUUUUAUAUUUUACCCUUUGAAACUAUCUUUACAUUCGAUAUUACAUUUUUUUCUUAAACUCCAAAUUGAUUUUUUUUAUUAAUUUUAAAACACAUAUAAAGUGAUUCAUAUUGAUUUUAUACUAACAAACUAUUAUAGCACAUUCGAAAAAUAAUUAAAUCGUUCUUAUUUACAUAGUGAAAAUGCAAAUAGCUCAUUCAAAUGUUAAGGAAUUGGAGAGCUGCUGCUGGAGAUGAAAGAUGUGAAUUAAACAUCAGAGAAAAAAUUAUGUUCACUGUCUUGCCAGACCAAGCACCGAAAAGCGUCGUAAAGAAAAAUUAGAUAAUUUAGAAGAUAAAGCACGUGGAAUGGAGGCAGAAAGCAAGUAAUGAUAACUCUUUCGACAAACUAAUAUAUACCAAAAUGUAAUAUCGGCCCUAAUAAAAAAUGUGUUACGUAAGUAAAAGCACCAGGUCGGUCGUGCUACUAUUUCUGUCCCGGUAUGGCUCACCUCAACUGAAUGGUACAAGCAGAGCAUGGAGACGAAUAUGGCCCGACCAGAGAUGAGUACCGACCAGAGGUGUAUGUCGAGCCGAUACCCGUCUCCUGAAAAAGCGGGAACACGAUCCCACAGAAUCGCGGAAUUUGCGUUUUUCCCAGAACCGUUGCGAGAGAUGCGAUACCCCACGUUUACCCGUAAUGUAGUAGUUAAAGUUCCGUGAAAGGCCACCACCCGAAAAAGGAGGGAUGAAGACUGAGCGGGAACGUGGGAUAACGGCUAUAAAAGAAGGAGAAAUCGAUGAAGAAGGGGACAGAAAAAUCAAAAGAGGGAAAACGCUGCCAAAUUAUUGUCAGGCUAUCUUCUUGAAAAUUCCAGAUAAAUCAAAAACUACUCUUAAAUCUAAAUUGCUCUGUUUUCCCGUAAAUACCUUGAGCUAACUUAGGCAUCGGAGGGUUUACGCCGGCAAAACCACCCGCGUCUUUGAUCCGUUUUUUUGUGAGCGCAGGUCUAGAAAGAGAAAGGAGGACGAGUCCAAGUCCCGCGGUUCGAACUUGAUAACAUAAUCGUUGGUGGAAAAUUCUGGUCGGUAACAAGGCGAGCAGAUUUAAGCAUCAACAUUUUGGCGCCGUCUGUGGGGAGCUGGAUAAAAAGCUACCACCAACUUAGUAGUUGCCAGAGAAGCGGUAAACAAUCAGACAUGGAUGUGCCCAGGAAAGACGCUCUGAGGGAGGAUAACGAGUCUGGAGAGACAAUCACUCUUAGGGAAAUUGCAAAUGAAGCCCGGGAGAGGGUAAUGCAAGAUCGAUUGGAGCGGAUGGAGAAACAAAUGGAGACUCUCGCGACCAUACUAUUUGAGCUGAGAGACGAGCGGAGAAGGGAUUGCGAAACCCCUGUGGGGAGAGAUGAUGUCGGAGCAGAACCCAGCCUCCGGACGCGUAGAGUCGAGGAGAUCCCUCCGCCGGCGGACCAACCUAAUGGGGUGCAUCCCCACAGAAGUACUGGUCGGAUUCCAGGAGAACAAAUAGAUGAAGGGAGGAACCAACCUCGCCCUGGGCGGGUACUGGAAGCUGAUGGCCGAGGGGCCAGUGUUAAUGAAGGGGAGCUCAGGCAGCGGUUGCAGAAUGCCGAACAGGAGCGAGAUCAAAUAGCUGCACGUGAUCCUGACCGUGCUGUAGAAUUGGAGGGAGAGGUGCGCAGAUUAGCGCAAGUGAUAGAGGAGAUACAGGGUAGGAGAAAGCCCCCGAGCUGGAGGAUAAUGCUAGAUGAAGAAUCUCCACUAUCAGUUGAGAUCAUGGGCACUGUAAUCCCAAGAGAUUUCCGCUUCCCCGACCUCAAAUACUCCGGGCGAAGUGAUCCACUGGUGCAUAUUGAACGUUUUAAUGACGUGACGGGUGUUCAGGGGUUAACACCAGCUCAGAGGUGUAGGGUAUUCCCAUUGACACUAGAGAGACGAGCCCGAGAAUGGUACCACAAACUGUUACGAGGAAGUAUCAGAGGGUACGAGCAGAUGUGCCAAGAAUUGGCCGAACAAUUCCGGGGGGCGGUGGCCCCAGAGGAUGAUAUGAUGGAACUAAUGGGGAUAAAGCAGGAGGAACAAGAACCCCUUCGAGAUUUUGUAAAACGAUACCACCGAGCCGUGCUUGAUUUGGGAGCUUUCAAUCACCCGCAGGCGUUGAGGGGAUUGAAGGAGGGUGUGAGAAUAGGCCGACUGUGGUAUAACCUGAGAAGCCCCCUGGUGCAGAAUUAUUCCGCGGGGUAUGAGCAAGCAAAGAGAGACAUUGAAAUCGAAGAAGAAAAAUCAGCCAGGAUAAAGAGUGAACAAUUGGAGGAGCUGAGACGAAGAGAGAUGAGAGCCCCAAAAGGAGCGGGUCAGGAAAGCAAGCUGGGGAAUCUUCAAUGAUGGGUGCAGUAUCCGCUCGAUCUCGCCUUUAUCCUAUGGCUCAGAGACCGCAGCAGGUCCAACACAAUCGGGCUCAGCCCUCACGCCCCCCAUUCCUGGAACGACAACGAGAAUUUCGGCAGUUGGCUAACCAUCCCUAUCACAACGCUCCCAGAGCACCGCAUACAGCCAACCCCAGAGCGGGACGAUCAGGUCAGCUACCUUCAAUAUCCGCUCGGGAUGAUACUCAUGAUAGCCGAGCAGUCCAGCUGAUUGACCAGAACCCAGCGUACGGACAAUAUACCCCGCUAAAAGUCCCUAUGGAGGAGUUGUAUGAGAGAAUCGAGGGACGAGGCCUGUUGUACCCUCCAGCCCCUAUAACGAAACCUGCUCACCGAAGGGAUAAGAGCAGAUUCUGCAAAUUCCAUGACACUCACGGUCACACCAUCAGCCAAUGUCGUGACUUUAAGAUUCAGGUGGAGGAUUUGGUGAGAAAUCGUUAUUUGGAUGAGUAUGUAGAUGGGGUUUCUCCCGUCAUUGAAUCACAGUACACGCGGGGUGAAGGAGAUGAGAGGAGCCUGGAACGUGAACAGCCAACUAUCCGUGUGAUAGCAGGAGGGCCAACCCUGGCUGGGGAUUCGAAUAGGGCACGGAAGAACUAUGGGAAAUACGCCAUGACCAGCAAAGAAGUUCUUUUCAAUUUGCCAGCAGCCAAGAAGGCAAAAUUGCGGCAAGUUCCCAUUAUGUGGACAGAUGACGAUAAAGAGGGUAUCCUAUAUCCUCAUAAGGAUGCACUGGUGAUUAAGGCAAUGGUGGCUGGUACAGAACUACGACGGAUACUGGUAGACACGGGCAGCUCGGUUGACAUCUUGUUUAAAUCGGCCCUAGAUGAUAUGGGGAUUGCAGACUUAAAAUUGGAACGGACGAACACAUCUUUAAAGGGAUUUGGAGGGGGACGGCUAACUCCCAUAGGAAUCGUCGAACUCCCAAUUACUAUGGGGACAAAGCUGUUUGAAAGAACAAUGAUGUUGGAUUUUGUCGUGGUAGAGGAGAGAAGCCCUUACCAGAUGAUACUGGGGAGACCGUUCAUGAAGAUAAGUCAAUGCGUUGUGUCUACGCAUUAUCUGGCACUAAAAUACAGAAUAAACGGAGCGGUUGGUGUAGUAAAAGGUGACCAGAGGGUGGCAAGGAGUUGUUAUGCUACAGCGGCCAAGGAGACGCUGCAGGUUACUUCCUUAGAUAAUCGAGGAGAACCUAAAAAGGGCCGCCAAGAACCUGUUGAGAAACUGGAGGCAGUUUCGGUAAGCAAAGGCGACCUGAGCAGAGUGGUGAAGAUCGGAUCGGGGUUGGUUGGUGCAGUCAAAGGCGAACUGGUAAAUUGCCUACAGUCUCAUGCAGAUAUAUUUGCCUGGUCUCACGAGGAUAUGCCAGGAAUUGAUCGUGGGGUAGCUUGCCACAAGUUGGCAAUUAAGAAGGGGGCGAGGCCGGUGAGACAGAAGAGGAGAUGCUUUAACCAGGAAAGAUACCCAGACGGACGAGAUGUGAAGAGGUCAUGGAACGCCGAGCACUUAAAGAAGUAUUUUCAGUAAGCAAAGUGCUCUGCUAAAUCCUCAUUUUGAUAAGUUUUCUUUGUUAACUGCAUGAUGGUUUAUUACGCAUGUACAUAGUCUGUAUUUUGUAAUACAUUCAAAUCGCAAUAAAGAUGAAUUCAGCAUGAAACCCUUCUGUUAAGCAAGGCCAUUAUAAUUUAUACCAAGGCAAGUAAGUGCCUGCUUCUGCUCGGUCAACGAAAGACCAGCAGCUAAAUUAGCGAAAUUUCUACCAAGGCAAGUAAGUGUCUGCUUCUGCUCGGUCAACGAAAGACCAGCAGCUAAAUUAGCGAAAUUUCUACCAAGGCAAGUAAGUGCCUGCUUCUGCUCGGUCAACGACAGGCCAGCAGCUAAAUCUACGAAAAUUAUACUAAGGCAAGUAUGUGCCUGCUUUAGUUCGGUCCACGAAAGACCAGCAGCUAAUACUACGAGAAUUCUGCUAGGGCAAAUAAGUGCCUAGUUCUGCUCGGUCAACGAAGACUAGCAACCAAUUUUAUUAAAAUUUUACUAAGACAAGUAAAUGCAUACUCCUGCUCGGUCCACAAAGAAACCAGCAAGCAAAAUCAGAUAAGUUGUCCAAUUAUUUUGCAGAAACCAUCUAUGAGCAAAUACCAGACAAGAAAGUCAAUAGAGAACAUCUAAAAGUUUAUAAAUGUUUGAUUGUCUACAAAAUAGAUGUAAAUCUAAAGUUUACACAGAAAUAGACUUAAAGAUUAGCAGGGUCAACGGCUCCAGCAGCUGAAGAAUCAGCAACCUCAGGAGGCGGGAGAUCGGCAAUACCGGGAGGAGGGGGCAUGGACCCUUGACCCACCUCGAAAGUACGUCCCCCGGCUUCCCCCUCCUGCACCCCCUCCAAAGGAGCCUCCGCCUGAUCCUGAUGACCUUGCUCCUUAUCUGCCUGGCCGGUUUCCGCCAUAUACCGCUGCACUCCAGCCUCCAGCUUACUCAUGUCCAGCUCGGGAUAUUCUUCUUUAAGCACGGACAUGAUACACUUAUAGGAGAAAGCAACCCCAGAGUCAUACUCGGCAUCCAGCUGGUCGUCCACAUCAGCGGAUUUGCCUUUCUCCUCAGCCAGCUGUUCAUUUAGGGAUUUGAUUUCUCCCUCAAGGGCAGUCCUCAGAGUAUCUCUUUCACUUUGAGUUACCUGAAGGUCAGACUUCAGGCUGCCCAACUCACCCUCGAGUUUGGAGGCAGUGGACUCAGCAAUUGCAGUUUUCUCCUCCAGCUCCAUAAUCUGUUUGUUCAGCUCGGCCAGUUUCUCCUUGGAGCGAUCAGCAGAUUCAGCCUUCUUUUUCAACUCCUGAUUAUCAGCUUGAAGCUUCCUCUCAUGGCGUAUGGACACGUUCUUGUAACACGAAACCAUGGUGGCCAGCCUGAAGGAAACCCUUUGAACAGAGGCAGCUAACUCGGAGAGCUCCAUACUCUCGAUGUCCUUCACCAUCUUGGGCCCAACCGACCUCUUGUAAUCCUUUUGGUACGGGCUCAAAUAGUCACCCUGAUCCCGAGAUGGAAGAGGAGAAGAUCGGUCCCCAGAUUGUAAGCUGACCUCAGGGCUCUUGUCGGAAGUUUUCUCCCCACUACUCUUACGAGGUGGAGGAGGGGGCAGAGCAGGAACUGGAGCCUGAGAAGGACUGGCACUGGCCUUUUUCGGAGGAGGAGGAGGGUGGCUGGAGCUGCUCGAUGCCCGACCACGCUUUCUGCUCAUCGCGCUGAGGAUCUUGUUAUCCAUCCCAGCGGCAAUAUCUACUAAGCCCGAACCGACCAGGUUUGUUGGUGACAGGAGGUCUUGACAAGUAGACGCGCUCACCAGAGCCGUUUCCACCUGGAGUAAAGGUCGGUCCUCGAGAGUCUUAACCAAACCCCACGAUUCUGAAAAAACAGACAAGGUUAAAGAACCCAAUAAGUGGCAAUUCGAGAAAGAAUAUAGGCAAAAAAUGAACGACCUGGGGUGACAAAUUGCGUUGGAAGGUAAAUGUCACCACCCAACGACCGAACUGCUGGACACCAAUUUCCCCCAGCAAAGAAGAAUUUGUUCUUCCAAUUUUUGCACGAGGAGGGGAAACCGGUGAUUGGCUUUCUCUUCGCAGAACUGGACAUGAAGUAGUACCAGCCCGCCUCCCUUGGGCUGCUCCGCAGCUGAUACAGAUGCUUCACUUCAACAAGGGAAGGCUCCUCCGACCCACACCUCUCCCACAACACAAACAUAGCCGAGAGAACCCUCCACCUGUUUGGGUGUAGUUGACCUGGGGCCAGGUGCAUACCCCCUAAAAUCUUGGCAAAAUAGCGCUGAAGAGGCAGCCGAGCUCCUAAUUUAAAGCUCUCCAGGUGCAUGGUCACGUACUCCCGCGGAGGCCGACUAGGAACAUCACCUUUCUCAGGAACCACAAGGAGAACCUCCUUAGGAAUAUCAUAGAGGUUCCUAAGCUUGAACAGAUCAUUUUGGGUGGUGGCACAGGCUAUGUGAUCAAUGGGGUAAGAAUCUGCCUCCAUCCUAUGCCCAAGGUUUUGUUUCUUAAGAGGUCGGCUCGGCUCGGCUCGGAGCUGCUUCCCUCACUAUCACCCGCUCCUUCAGGAACCCCGACCCCACCAGAACUGUGGUUCUCGCCAGAGCCCGACGCAGGUCCCCCUCUAUUUCCUACAAGCUCUAAUUCAGAGGAGGGUGAAAUGGUCAAGGGACGUGGGUACUCAAGGAUAUCCCUACUAUGGGAUAAGCCUACACUACGAGAGGGAUUCAAAAAAUCAGUGGGUAUGGGCAAGUUAAGGUCUGAAUCCCCAGAUUCUUCAUCACCCUCGUCUGCAAUCAACUUCCUUCUUCGAUUUGACAUACCGGAGUUCCAAAAGAAAACCAAAACAAACCCAAGUACACGAAUACAAAAAGAGACAGUACAGAACCCAAUCAACAACAGCCAAAAAAGAGGUUAAAGGCUAUACCUGGAAUGGACUAACAUUGGUAGCACUGCCGUGACAGAGAAAACACCCAGCAAAUGGAUACUCCGGACGCUGGAAAUGGGAGCAAAGUCCAGAAAAGAAAUUGGUUAGUGACGGAGAAACGAAUCGCAGAAUGAUGAUGAUUUUAGUCUAGGGAUUUGGAACGAAAAGGGGGGAAACGGAAGCAUUUAAGUGAUGGGAUAUGCCAGCUCACUCACCAUAUAUCGAGGAAGGAUAGCCCGUCGUUUCAAAUUUCAAAAUAUGAAGAGUCGGGAAGCGCCACGUCACUAACCGAUACAAGAGGCCAGACUAGAGCAAGCCCAGAUAUGCAAUGGACAGGCUCAUUAAGGCCCAUGCUCAGAAGACCAGAUGAGAAGCCCCGGGCUGGUCGGCUUCAACCAUCAGUUUCUACUCUUAACUCAUUUCACUCGCAAGACCAGAAACUGGGGGACUGGUGUUAAGUAAGUAAAAGCACCAGGUCGGCCGUGCUACUAUUUCCGCCCCGGUAUGGCUCACCUCAAUCGAAUGGUACAAGCAGAGCAUGGAGACGAAUAUGGCCCGACCAGAGAUGAGUACCGACCAGAGGUGUAUGCCGAGCCGAUACCCGUCUCCUGAAAAAGCGGGAACACGAUCCCACAGAAUCGCGGGAUUUGCGUUUUUCCCAGAACCGUUGCGAGAGAUGCGAUACCUCACGUUUACCCGUAAUGUAGCAGUUAAAGUUCCGUGAAAGGCCACCACCUGAAAAAGGAGGGAUGAAGACUGAGCGGGAACGUGGGAUAACGGCUAUAAAAGAAGGAGAAAUCGAUGAAGAAGGGGACAGAAAAAUCAAAAGAGGGAAAACGCUGCCAAAUUAUUGUCAGGCUAUCUUCUUGAAAAUUCCAGAUAAAUCAAAAACUACUCUUGAAUCUAAAUUGCUCUGUUUUCCCGUAAAUACCUUGACCUAACUUAGGCAUCGAAGGGUUUACGCCGGCAAAACCACCGGCGUCUUUGAUCCGUUCUUUUGUGAGCGUAGGUCUAGAAAGAGAAAGGAGGACGAGUCCAAGCCCCGCGGUUCGAACUUGAUAACAUAAUCGUUGGUGGAAAAUUCUGAUCGGUAACAAGGCGAGCAAAUUUAAGCAUCAACAAAAUGAAAAUAAAAAUUCAUUACGAAUACGUGUUAAAGAUAUCCCAAGUAUAGAUGUGACUGAAAUAUUUGAGAUUGAAGAAGAAUUAAGACUCAAAAUCAAUUGGGAGGAAUAAAUGAGAAACCCCAAUACCAAAAAAUACACGCACAAAUCCUAAUACUAAUUGUAAUCACGGAUAAAAAGCAUAAUACGAAUAAAUUAAAUGGGCAACUAUUCCAUUGAGAAAUUAAUUAAAUCGUGUAUUAAUAUUUUGUAUACAUAUAUUUUUCUAUAUAUAACUUUCGGUAAUUUAAUUUUCCACUUAUCAUUUUUACUCCAAAAAAAUAAUUGAGAAUAUUAUUUAUAUUUUGGUGCAAAAUAUUUGAACAAUAUACAAAUUUUCAGUUUAAUAAAUCUAAACAUCUAUUAAGUUAUAAAUGAAUUUAAUGGGUUUAAUUAAUAAAAUUACUAUUAUUAUAUAAAUUGGGUUUAGUAAUGGUAUAUUGGGUGGGUUUGUUGAGUAAAUUUUAAAAUUUUGAAAUUUAAGGAUGGGUUUAUUUAGUAAAUGAGUUAAGGGAGUAGUUUGUUGGGAUUCACAUAGCCCCACCAAAUUCAAAUGUAAAAUUUGUGGAAAAAGAAGCUAUUGAGUUAUUCUUUUAAAAAAAGAAUUAAAAUGUCAAGAAUACCUUUAUUUAAUUUUAUAAUCUUAUUUUAUAGUCAUAUUUUAUUUCCACCUUAACAUAAUUUUAAAAACCUUAACUAAUAAAUUCUAUAUUUUUUUUAUAAAAGUUAUCAUUAAUAUCCAAACGGCUAAAGAUUUUUUUUUUUUUAAAAAAAAAGGAACUAUGCUUACAAAAGUUGUAUACAUUAACAAUAAAUUUAGUCCAAAGAAUAAAGUUAUUCCAAACAAGCACUCCAAUUCAUCUUGCUAAUGAAUCAAGAUGACUGAAUCCUUCUCUAAGCCAAAUCUAUUUUCACUUUUAGGUCAGAAAUUGUCAUUAAAAAAAUGUUUGAUAAAAUAUGCUCUAGGAACACUAAUUCGUCAGAUGGUUACUCCAAGUUUAUGAAAUCAAUGGGAUUUCAUCAUAUUCAUAACAUUCUUCUUUAAUGUCUAUUCUAACAAAGAAAUCAUAUACAGAGAAUAGGUUUCGUUAAAACUUUUACUAGAAAAACUAACCACAAUUCACCAUUCAUUUAUAUCUUAAGUAAGCCUAAGAUUUUAUCAUUAAAAUCCCAUCAUGAAAAAAACUCAUGGGAGAAAAACUAUAAAAAUUGAAGAAAAAAGAGUAUGGCGUGCAUGUAAAUUAUAUCGAUUUUAUCUACAUGACAAAUAAGACUCUCUUUUACAAUGGCACGGAUGCUUCAUUGAGUAAUCAUGAUUCUUGCUGGUAGUGCUUUGUUGUAUCAAUCUGCUAGCUAUUCAGCGUUCUUUCUUUCUUUCUUCUUAUUUUUUUGUUUUCAAAUAGCUUGUGGUUGUAGAAAUAUUUCAAUUAAACUAUACUUAAGUACUUAUUUGGUAUAACUUCUUUACUAACCAAAAGAAUUUUUUUUUUUGGUUUUUUAUAAUUUAAUUAUACUUUAACUAGAGUUUUUGGGAUAAAACAAGUGAUAAUUUCUCUCUAUUAAGAAAAACUCAAAGGGUAGGGCUAUCUCAAUCCACCAAACUAUUUAUUAAAAAUCCACUUAUGAAAAUAAUUUUUAAUUAUUAGAAUGCCUUUACAUUAAAUUAUAAUUAUGGACACUAAAAUAUAAUAAAUUUUUUUUUUACUCUUUAAAACUGUCUUUACAUUUGAUAUCAUAUCUUUUUCUUAAAAUCUAAAUUGAUAUUUUUAUUUUAUUUUUUAUUAAUCUUAGAACACAUAUAAAGUGAUUCAUAUUGAUUUUAUACUAACAAACUAUCACAGCACAUUCGAAAAUAAUUAACUCGUUCUUAUUUGCAUAGUGAAAAGGCAAAUAGCUCAUCCAAAUGUUAAAGAACUGGAGAGCUGCUGCUGGAGAUGAAAGAUAAAUAAUUCUCACUUAGAAGAAGGAGAAAAAAAGGAAAUACAAUUAGAAUGAGAGGUAGCCAGUAGCCACUAGCCGCCACCACCACCAGUGAAACUAUUUCACAUAAUAGAAGAUAAAGCACGCGUAAUGGAGGCAAAAAGCAAGUAAUGAUAACUCUUUUCGACACACUAAUACAUAUCAAAAUGCAAUAUCGGUCCUAACAAAAUGAAAAUAAAAAUUCAUUACGAAUAUGUGUUAAAGAUAUCCCAAGUAUUGAUGUGAUUGAAAUAUUUGAGAUUGAAGUAGAAAUAAGACUCAAAAUUAAUUGAGAGGAAUAAAUGAGAAACCCAAAUAUUAAUAAAAUACACGUGCAAAUCCUAAUGCUAAUUAAAAUCACGGAUUAAAAAUAAUAAUAAUAUGAAUGAAUUACAGGCGCAACUGUUUCAUUAAGAAAUUAAUUAAAUCGUGUAUUAAUAUUUUGUACACAUACAUUUUUCCAUAUAUAACUUUCGGUAAUUUAGUUUUCACUUAUCAUCUUUACUCCAAAAAAAAAAUUGAGAAUAUUAUUUAUGUUUUGGUGUAAAAUAUUUGAAUAAUAUACAAAUUUUCUGUUUAAUAAAUCUAAACAUUUCUCCAGUUAUAAAUGAAUUUAAUAGGUUUAAUUAGUAAAAAUAUUAUUAUUAUAUAAAUUGGGUUUGGUAAUGGUAUAUUGGGUAUUUAAAUGGGUUUGUUGAGUAAAUUUUAAAAUUUUAAAAUUCAAGGGUGGGUUUAUUUUAGUAAAUGGGUUAAGGCAGCAAUUUCCCAAACUAAAAUUUUUAGAAAAAGACGCUAUUGAGUUUUUUUUUUUUUUAAAAAAAGAAUUAAAAUGUUGAGAAUACCUUUAUUUAAUUUUAUAAUCUUAUUUUAAAAAAUUUACCCAAUAAAUUUUAUAAUUUUUAUAAAAAUUAUCAUUAACAUCCAAACAGCUAAAGAUUAAAAAAAAAAAAAAAGAAGAAGGGAACUGUACGAGCAAAAGUUACAUUAACAAUAAAUUUAGUCCAAAGAAUAAAGUUACAGCUAAAAAGUGCUCCUAUCCUAUUUUUCUCUAUUUUAACAAUAAUCUUCUUCCAAUCCGUUUUACAAUGGACUUUAACAAAUGGGCUCAAUCUCUAAACUUCAUUUUCUUUUGCUUACCCAUGGCCAUUAGCCAGAAAGCCUAAAACAAGACCAGCCCAUAUAUAUAAUUUUUUUUAAAAAAAAGUAAAAAUGUGUGAGAGCUUGUAGCAUUACAAUUUUAGGAUCACAUGUGUAAAUGGAACCCCAACAUUGAUCAAGAAUUAACAAGACAAGAUGAAGAGAUGAUCUUGUAACUAAGAAUGAAGAAAUUGAAUCAAGACAGUACUCUAGUAAAACCCAGAAAACAGAGCUUGAAGAAUCACGCACAAAGCAGUAAAUUUGUAAAACCAGAAUUGGAGCUUCACUUCUCAAGAGAGACGAAACAGGAUACAGUCUAGCUUUAGCCAAAGUGAUAAACUCGUAAUUAUUCUACAAAGGGAACAAUUUUGAACAGUGGGAAAUUCCAUAAUUAUUCUUUUCGGUGAAUUAUUUUAAAUAAAAUUAUAAAAACCAAUAUAAAAUUAUUACCCAGUAAAGACUUUAGAGAGACAAGUGCUCCCAACAGGAUCAAGUGAAUAUGCCCCACAAAGAUCAUUUCUUGUUCUUUUUCUUUUUGACAAUUUUAUCUGUGGUUUCAACUUUUAUGCUUUAUUGUCGUAUCCCGUUGAGGGCUCCGCUGCACCCAUUACAACUUACCCCUAAAUUGCCUCUUACUAACUAAACCGUUAGAUUUUAUGGAAGCACGUUCAAUGCUGAAUUUUAAUUAUGUCAUCAAAUUUCGUUUAGCUCCUUAAACUCCAUUUUAUUUGUAAUUUCUUCAUAAAAUAUUCAAAGCUUCAUCAAGCUCCUGAUGGACCAUCAUGGCUAGGGGUGCAUUAGAGCCGAACUGAAAUAUGUUAGUUCAGUUCAGUUUGGUCAGUUUAAAUCGAAUGGUUUAGAAUAUAUAAACUGAUCAAUUUUAAUUUUUAAUUGAACCGAAAAUCAAUUGGUUCAUUAUUAGUAUUUUUUUAUAAACAUGAAUUAUUAGUGAUUGUAAUUAAAUUGGACUAAAAAAAAUUCAAACUAAGGUGAAAAAUAUAAAAUCUUAGACAAUAUAAAAGAAAAAAUAUUAAAUUUUUUUAACCGAAUUAUUUUGACUCAAUUUGGUUCAUAAUUUUUUAAACCAAAUGGAACCCUCAUAACAAAAAACUAACAGAAACAAUAAGAACACGAUGUUAAAAUCUUAAAUCAAUCGCAAAAAAGCACCCAAAACAGAUCGAUUAGGAACAGUUAACAACAAAAGAUUUGAUGGUUCAAAAUCAUAAUGUGACCUACUUCCAUCCAAGAAUUAUACUAAUUUCUUUACUAGUUGUCAAAUACAAGAUCACAAGAUUAUUUAUCACUCUAUAGAGAAAAAAUUUUUAGAAGAAAUACUCCCCAAUUUUUCUCUUGAUAGUUAUGAAUCAACACCCCUAGAAAGGCUAUUGAUUUACUUUUCCUUAUUUCAUAUGAUCGGUUGCUGCAACUUAAUCCUUGCCAAGUUCCAACAUAGUCCAAACAUUUUUCAUGGUACAUGCAUAGUGCACCUUCAGAAACUUUACAGCUCUUCUUAAAACCUCAGUUCUCGUGAUGUUUCUGAUUUAUUUCUGGGACGAGUAACACUUUUGUUGAACCUAGACCAGAUUUAGUAUCCAAUCAAGAAUUUCCAGGAUCUAGCUGAACUCUCUAAUCAAGACCUAAAGAAUAGUUAAUCAAAUCCACACAAAAGAAUCACCCAAAAACAGUAUACAAAGAACAACAAAUAUAAGUGGUUUUGAGAUAAAUGUAAUUGACUUCUGAGCAUGACUUAAUUUUGAGAUCAUUACUUUUAGUUAAAUGAUCUCCUCCAGAGCUUCUACCUAUGUAGUGUUUUUAGACCUCUAUAGUUGAUAAAGCACGUUCAAGGUGAAGGCUUGUUUUCCAAUCUAUAGUCCAAUUAUAGACUGGAAAUGGUCAGGCUUAAUGCACCUUCAAAAGCUUCACAAUUUGUAUUGAAACCUUAAGCCUCAGAAUGCUACAAAUUUUAAAUCCAUAUACUUAGUGCUCUUAUGAUUUGUUUGAUUUUUACUUAGAUGAAGAGCAUUUUAGCUAUAGAAAACAUUGUAACUAAUUCAAAGCAUGCCUUAGCUACGAGAUCAUUCAUUCUAGCCAAAUGCCCCCUUUAGAGAUUCUGCUAUUGUUGUGUAUUCAGCCUCUAUAUUUGGCAAAGCAAUUACAUGUCGAAGGCUUGCUUUCCAGUUAACAGCGCAAUUACAUAGAUUAAAGGUGUAACCAGGCAAAGAACUUAGUUAUUCUGCCAAGGUCUCCAACAUACUCCAAAUCCAUAUAACCACCAGACUUCAAUCUUUAGACUCCAUAGAUCAAACCAUAACUUAGUGUGCCUUUCAAUCUCAGGUAACAUUUUACUGUUUUCCACGUCUUGCCAUGUACUUGCUGCUAACACUAACAAUUUGAGAAAUGUUAGGCAUCGUAAGCAGCCGACAACACUCUUCUUCAUUUCUUCAUUGUCAAUUUCCUUCUUGGAACAUUGCUCCAUUGAGAGUCUGCUAUCAUUGCUCCAAUUAUUAUUAUUUUUGUUUUUUUAAAAAAAAAAAUUAACCGUGCAAUAAGAGUAUAAGACUAAGCAACGGUCCUUUUUUUUUUCCCAUUCUUGAACAUGAAGUAUUUGAGUAUGCAAUAAAAAUUGUUUAUUGAUAAUUAAAAGUUAAUAGUGGGUGGCUUUAGGAUUUGUUUACAAAAUUGACAACAAAUUAAGAUUUUUCAAAUUCAUAGGUAAGAAACUUUUCAUUUAUUCAUAGAUUUUCCGGUUUAAACUUUAAAGGAAACUUAAAAGAAAAAGAUGUAUCAUUAGAUUUGUAAUUAAAAAAAUUUAAUAUUGUAUGAUCUGUUCGAUAUGCAUAAUUUAAAUAAACAUUAAUAUAGAUGUUAUAUAUCCUAAAACUUAAUUGACUUAAUUCUUACGGUGCAAGGAAGACGUUUCCAAGUUUAAAUCUAAUUUGGGGUCGGGAAAGCACUGGGAAAUAAAUGUAACAAAGGAAAAAAGAAAAGAAUGACAGUCUGAGUGGAGCCAACACGGUUUUGAAAAAAGUGCAAAAAAGGGUUUUAGGAUAUAUUCUAUUAUCGUUUGUUUGCUUGCUUGUGGAAAUAAAAGUCUCAUGUUUCUUUGAAAGGUAAGCAAGUGUGAAUGUUUCUAUCUAGAGCUGGAAAAUGCAUUUCCGUGCAACUUACUUGAUGAAUGAAGUUUUCAUCUCUGACCUUGAUGUUUCCCAGAGCUGCAUUCAUUUCAGCUGAUCUAUUUCAUUUCGUUUGCAAAGGAGUGACACAAAACCUCCUUUGUUAAGGGGAGAAUUUAGAGUGGCUUCAACGGUUAACAAAUAGCCUAAUGUAAGACUUAAUCAAUUUCCUGCCCGGUUGCUUACCACUACUUAUCACUUUAACGUAUGAAACCUAAUCAAGAUUCCUUUGAUGAUUUUUCUAUUUGCUAAUUGAUUGAUAAGCUCUUCAGUGAAGAUAUAGUGUCCGCAAGCCAUAUGUUGAUAGAGUUAGAGUUUGCAGAAGCUACUGUACCAUAUGUUGUUAGAGGCGGUAAAAACGGAGGCAGAUCAACACACAUUUAAAUUUCAAUGACAAUUUACUGGAAAUAAAUUUCCUAUGACCCUACAUGUGACUAAUUGAUGAGAACUUGACAAUGACAAAAGAAAGUGUAUGAGCUUUGCAGGCUGGCUUGCCAAUAUUGACUGUAUGGCACCAUCCGCAAGUAAGUAUCAUUACUGUUUAAUCAACUUGGUGGAGUCCACUGGGACCACCCCACAUGGUCAGUCUUAUCUCUACUCCUAAAUUUUCAAUAUUCCAUACAUCAAACCAAUUGCAGUUUUGAUAUCAAAUUCAAUUUUAUUGUUGGUGACGAUUCUGAUUCCUUUCAUUCUCACAAAACGGAACCAUGGUUGCUGUUGGAGAGAUCUUACUCAACGCCUUCCUUGAGGUGUUGUUUGACAGGUUGGCUUCUCGUAAUUUGCUCCGCUUUGUGCGUCAACUCCAAGGCGGGGUUGAUUCGGAGCUCAAGAAGUGGGAGAAAAAGCUGAAGAUGAUUCAGGCUGUGCUCUGCGAUGCAGAGGAGAAGCAACUGACCGAUGAGGCUGUGAAGAUGUGGCUGGACGAACUCCAAGACUUAGCUUUUGACGCUGAGGACAUUCUUGAUGAGUUUGCUACUCAAGCUUUGGAAAGCAAGUUGAUGGCGCAAAACCAGGAUAGCUCUGGCCAGGUUCUCAGUCUCAUCCCGGCUAGUUUGAAUCCGAAUGCUAUUAUGUUCAAUUAUAGCAUGGGGUCCAAGAUUAAAGAUAUGACUAGCCGGCUGGAGCAACUCUGCCAAGAAAGAAUUGAACUUGGACUGCAACGGCUUACUGGAGGGGCGUCAUCAACCGCUGCUGCUGCACACCGGAGGCCACCCAGUUCGAGUGUCCGAACAGAACGUGAAGUAUUUGGAAGAGAAGAAGAUAAGGCCAAAAUUCUUGAUAUGGUCAAUACCCCAAGUGAUCACGCCAACUUUGUUGUAAUACCUAUUGUUGGAAUGGGCGGGAUAGGAAAAACAACUCUUGCUCGGGAGGUCUACAAUGACAAGGCAGUUGAGGAUUCCAAGUUUGACGUAAAAGCAUGGGUUUGUGUCUCCGACAACUUUGAUGUUUUCAACAUUUCAAAGGCACUUCUCGAGUCAAUCACCUCCGCAGCUAGUGAUCUCAAGACUUUAAAUGAAGUGCAGGUUCAACUGAAAAAAGCAGUGGACGGAAAAAGAUUCUUGCUGGUCUUAGAUGAUGUUUGGAACGAGGACUACAGCUUGUGGGUAGACUUAAAAGCUCCGUUCCUGGGUGCUGCACCAAACAGUAAGAUGAUCGUCACCACACGCAAUUUAAACGUUGCAUCAACAAUGGGACCAAUUGAACAUUAUAAUCUCAAGAGUCUGUUAGAUGAUGAUUGCUGGUCCAUUUUCAUACAGCAUGCAUUUGAAGGUAGAGAUCUUAACGCAUAUCAAAUUUCAGAAUCAUUCAGCAAGAAAGUUGUUGGCAAGUGUGGGGGCUUGCCUCUGGCAGCAAAAACGCUCGGGGACUUCUGCGCACAACAAGGCAUGAUGCGUGGGACGAUAUAUUGGAUAGCAAAAUAUGGGAUUUACAUCAACAAAGCAGCAUUCUCCCUGUGUUAAGAUUGAGUUACCAUCAUCUUCCGUCUCAUUUGAAAAGAUGUUUUGCUUUUUGUGCCAUCUUUCCAAAAGAUUAUGCAUUCACUGAGAGGGAGCUGACUUUCUUAUGGAUGGCUGGAGGUAUUAUUCGACAGUCAAGAAACAAUGAGCAGCUGGAAGAUUUGGGCAGCAAGUGCUUUGGUGAUCUAGUGUCGAGGUCAAUUUUUCAGCAAACAGCAAGCUCUGAUAGUUCUAAAUUUGUAAUGCAUGACCUUAUUCAUGAUCUUGCUGAAUUGGUCUCUGGAGAAACCAUAUUCAGGUUAGAGGAGGCCAAUACUCGGUCAAGAAGAUUUGAAAGGGUUCGCCAUUCUUCCUAUGCUUGUGGUGGAUGUGAUGGUAAAAAUAUGUUCGUGGUUUUCAAUGAAAUUGAACAUCUACGAACAUUCUUGCCAUUACGCUUACGCAGAAGAGGUGGCUCUAAUGCUGGUUACAUAACUCGUACGGUUCUAUCUGAUUUGCUGCCGAAGUUCAAAAGGUUGAGAAUGCUAUCUUUACAAGGAUACUGUAUUGGUGAGUUACCAAUUCCAUUUGAAGAUUUGAGACUUUUAAGGUUUCUCAACCUUGCUGACACUGACAUAAGAAGUUUACCCGAGUCAACAUGCAAAUUGCUGAACUUGGAAAUUUUUAUAUUAAGAAAUUGUUCCCGUUUGAUAAAGCUUCCACCCAAAAUGAGGAAUUUGAUCAAUUUACGCCAUUUGGAUUUAAGAGGUGCGAAGUUGCUGAAGGAGAUGCCAUUCGGAAUGAAAGAGUUGAAGAAGCUUCAAACAUUGUCCAAUUUCAUCGUGGGCAAGGGCGAAACUGCAUCUGGUUUGGAAGAUUUAAAAUGUUUAAACUUUCUUUGUGAUGAACUCUGCAUUGCUGGAUUAGAGAAUGUGAAUGGUCCACAGAAUGCAAGAGAAGCCGCAUUAUGUGAGAAGCACAAUCUUGAAGCAUUGACUCUAGAAUGGGGGUCUCAAUCUGACGGUCCUCGGGAUGCAGUACUAGAAGAGAAGGUACUUGACACUCUACAACCUCAUGAAUGUAUAAAAGAGCUGGCAAUCAGGCACUAUGGUGGUGCAAGAUUUCCACCUUGGAUCGGACAGCAUUCGUUCUCCGAGAUGAAGGUCCUUAAAUUGGAGAACUGUGGCAAUUGUGUAUCUCUGCCAUCGCUUGGCCUGAUGAGUUCACUUAAGCACCUUGCUGUUAAAGGGCUGAAGAAAUUAAAAAGCCUAGAGUCUGAGGUUUAUGGGGAGGGUUUCUCAAUGCCUUUUUCGUCACUGGAGAUUCUAAGUUUUGAGAAUUUGCCAGAAUGCGAGCAUUGGGACACCAAUAUCAAAGGAAAUGUGCUUGUUGAAAUAUUUCCUCGUCUCCAUAAACUUUCCAUUGUGGAAUGUCCCAAACUCUCCGGAAAACUGCCUGAGCUCCUGCCCUCCUUGAAGACACUUGUUGUUAGUAAAUGUGAAAAGUUGGUAGUUCCAUUGUCUUGCUAUCCAAUGCUUUGCAGAUUAGAAGUUGAUGAGUGCAAAGAACUAGUCUGCCGGACUCCGAUUGAUUUUAAGUUGAUAAAGUCGGUGACUAUUUCAAAUAGUUCAUUAGACAUGAAUGGACGCAAGGGGAUGCUAUACGAUGGUCCAGCUGGCUCUUUACUGCCAAAGCCCAUGACUACUACAAAUGUUUUGGAGUUUGGAAAAUUAUUGAAGCCUGGAUUUCAGAUAUUAGAAACUUUGGUAAUUGGCAAUUCUGAACAGCUCAAGUCAUGGAGGCAGCAUGGGGAUUUUCCGAAAAAAUACAUGGUCACUGACCAUGGGUUUAAGAAACCAGUACGAGGGCUGAAUAUGCUCGCUUCCCCUGAGGAGGUAUCAAUUGAAGAAAGUUGCGUACGUCUUGUUUUGUUUCCAGAGAUCAAUUUCUUUCCCAGAAAUCUGCGCUCUCUUCUAAUUAACAACAGCACUGCUUUGAAAUCCUUACCCGAGGAAAUGAUGGAAAACAAUUCACAACUCGAAAGGUUGUAUAUCAAGGAUUGCGACUCUCUAACAUUCAUCGCAAGACGGAGGCUACCAGCAUCUCUGAAAAGGCUUGAGAUAGAAAAUUGUGAGAAAUUGCAACGUCUGUUCGAUGAUGAAGAGGAUGCUUCUUCUUCUUGUCCUUCAUCCUCGUCUUCCCCAGUGAUGCUGAAACACCUGAGAAUCGAUAACUGCCCAGAGCUCACCAGUUUAUCAUCGGGUGUCCAAUUCCUUGAGGCGCUUGAAGACCUCAAGAUAGGGCAUUGUCCAAAGCUGGAGUCAAUACCGGAUGGCCUGCCCAAUCUUAAAUGUUUACAGAGCAUUUAUAUACGGGAUUGUCCAAGUCUUGUUUCCUUCCCAGAAAGAGGGCUUCCCCACACCAUUUCAGGGGUUUUCAUUGCGAGUUGUGUGAAGCUCGAAGCCUUGCCCAAUGAUUUGCACAAACUCAACUCUCUUCGAGGUUUAAGCAUACAGCUCUGUCCAAAUCUUGUAUCGUUUCCAGAAGAAGGUUUUCCUACCAAUCUAACAACCCUUGUAAUUGAAAAAUUCAAAUUGUAUAAGACACUCGUCCAGUGGGGGUUGCACAGGCUUACCUCUCUUAGAGACCUCUACAUCAUUGGAUGUGAUGAUGAAGCAGAGUGUUUUCCAGACGAGGAGAUAGGAAUGACGCUGCCCACCUCUCUCACUCAUCUGUCCUUUUGUGGAUUCCAAAAUUUGAUAUUUCUGUCUUCAAUGGGUUUUCAAAACCUCACCUCUCUUCAAUCAUUCCCAGAGGUGGGCUUUCCAUCCUCACUUUGGGGCUUAGACAUUAGAUAUUGUCCAAAGCUCAAAACAGCGUGCAAAAGAGAUGAAGGAAAAGAGUGGUCCAAAAUUGCUCACAUCCCUCGCGUUGAGAUAGACGGUAAAUUCAUAUACGAUCCAGAAGCAGAGGAGUAGAUUCUACUAUUAAGGUCAGUUGAUUUGUAUUAUCCGCUAUAACAAGCUCCUCCUUUUUUAUUUUUUUUUUUGAAAUAAUAAUUUUGCAGUCACUCACGUGAUUCCGUUUUCACAAGUCAGAUUGUACGUUGAGGCUAUUUGCCUUUUAAUCGCAGAUUAAAUUAUAACACUUAUCUUAAAAUUUAAUACCAUAGACAGAUAGACGAUUUUUUAAUCCAAAGUUUUUUUUAUUCACUUCAGUUAGCAUUUUUUUUUUCCCCAAAUCAUGCAAGCCGAGAGUUUCAAUCAAGAAUUGGAGGAUGUGAAUGGGAAUUUUGUGAAAGAGUAACAUAAUGGAUGAACGAACAUUUCAUAUGUGAUCUCAAAGUCAACAGAAUUUUAUUCACUCGUUGACUUUUCAACUGCUGUGGUUAUUUAUGGGUGAAAGAUAAGGGCAAUUACAAAAAAUUUGCAAAAUUUGUCCAUUUCUUAGAUGGUAGAAAUUGGAGUAUAAUAUUUUGGAGCAAGCAUACUUGAAAUUUCUUUCUUCAAUAUUUUGAUGCUUUCUUAUCCCAUGCACAAAAAUACUAGAAAAAACUAAUAACAACUAACCGAAAAUCCCAGGCGUCAUAUUCCUUUUUACCGCGUUUUAAAAUGCACAACAAUGAUAUUCUUACAAAUUUGCAAAAUUUGUCAAUUUCUUAGAUUUCAGAUAUUUUAAUGCUUUUUUUAAUUUUUGAUCUAGUAAAAAUACAUAGCCUUCACCGGCAAGAUUCUAGUCUUGGAUUUCACCUCUCUAACUCAUCUGUUCCCAUUGGGAUUCCAGAAAUUGAAAUUUCUGUCUUCAAUGGGUUUUCAAAGCCUCGCCUCUCUUCGAUUUUUGUGGAUCGGGAAUUGCACAAAUCUCACAUCAUUUCCCGAGGUCGAGGAAAAGAGCGGCCCAAACUUGCUCGCAUCCCUUAUUAGGUUAUGAUAGAUGGAAAAUUCAUAUACGAUCCAGAGUCAGAGGUGUUGAUUCUCUUAUUAAGGUCAGCUGAUUUCUAUUAUCCACUCUGACAAUCUCCUAUUAGUGUUUUUCCUUUUGAAAUUUUUUUUCCAAAAUUUUGCAGUUCCGUAUAAUUGAAAAUGCCAUUCAGUUGUUUCCUAAUAGUAUGUUGAGGCUAUUUGCUUUCUAUCGGUGUUUGUUAAGGUAAUUAGUGCUCCCUCGUAGGUGUGACUGGAUUUUUUUCACUUCCGUAAAUAUUGCAUUUUAGACUGGCAAAUUUAGCAGUAAUUUUAAUACAAUUUUGUUGGUGCCUUGUGUUCCAGAAGCUAGAAAAAUGUGUAGUUUUCAGAUAAGGAGGCUUGUCAGUUCUCUAGUAAGAAUCCAAUGAUUUGCUUUUGCACGUCCAUCUAAUUUGUGGAUCCUUGCAUCAGAAUUUGAUCAAUCCAAAAGGAAUUGCUUUUAGACAGAAGAAGAAUAGCAGCACCUAGCCUACCCGCAAACCUGAAACUAUUAGAUUGAGGUAAAAAAAUCAUUGACCCUCACAUGUUAACUUCUUCUAGUUACUUUCGUUGGGAAAAAAAAAAACAUUUAAGGAAUUUGCAAUUUGUUGUUAGUUAUGGUAUCUGAUGUUCUUUUCUGCUUUAGCGUUUGUAGAAUCUACUGUAUUAUGUGUUGGCAGUUGCCGUAUCUAAGGUAACUUGCCUUUAUUUGUUUGCUUCUGACUUAAGGACACCAACAUUUGCCAGAGAUUUAGAGAAUCAUCUCAAAACACUUAGCAAACUUGACAAACUUCAAGAUGCACUUGCCCCCACGCCUUAUUCUCAACAACGCAAAACUUGUGAGUACACCUAUGCCUGCAAUUAUUGUGAAGUGUUCGCAAUUCUGAUGCAGAGAAAUGGUUUCUUGAUGCAAAGUAUUAAACUGUUAAGAUUUAUCCUGCAGGCUUGUUAGAUGCUGGAUACGCGAAAAGCCAACAACAUCAAGAACUGCAACUCCAAGACCAGCUUUGCGUUAAUUCAGUCAGCUGUAAUAAUGAUGCAAAUGACACUAUAUCAAGCUGGACUUAGAGACUAGUCAGAUAAAUCAUCCAUUUCAUCAACGGUUAAUGUCAUGAUGGUGGCUAUCAGAGGAAACAAAAGAUGUGUCGGAAUCUAUACAAACAUUGAGAAGCAUGAGAGGAGCUUUGAUUUUGAGUAGGGUCAAUGAACUCAUAUUGGUAAGUGGUAAUUAAAGAAACUUUGUAAGCUUAGUAGAGUUUCAGUAUUUUCUGUUUGGAGUAUAGUUGAUAAGUUGACUCUGUUUAAGAAGCCCGAUUAUAGUAGCUGACUGUAUUAACCUUUUUUUUUUUUUUUUGGGUCUGCUGUUGUUUUUGGUUUCGAUUAUUUUUUCAACAUUGGGUUGAUCUGUUGAAGAACAAGCUUGGGUUUGAUUAUGCUUUAACUACAAGGAAGAGCCAGACUUGGAUGCAGGCGUUAAGCUUUUAAUGGGUAAGAACAAAUGAAUGCUUUAACUAUGUUUCUCACUUAUUAAAAUGCACGGAUUGAAGGCAUCUGGGUUGAUCCUGACAAUGUGAUGGAAAUACUUCUCUGUUUUCAUAUAACAGGACAAAUAGAGAUCUCUGAUCAUGCCUGAAUUUUUGUUGCAUUGAAAUUUCUACCAUUAUCAAACAUAGAAUGAACUAGGGAUACAUUAGCUUAAGACUAAAUUUUGAGAAGGAAGUUUGUACUUGCAGCCUAUAAAAUCAUGUCCAUGUUGUACGUUUCUUUGGGAAAUGAAAGAUUCUGUGUGUUCUUUUAUUUCAAGUUCACUGAAAUCACAUUUGUUUUCUCAGCUGCUUUCCAGAAGGUAACAACAUCAAUUUCAAAAAUGCUGGGGCAAGAUGUAUCAUGCAGUGCAACUCAACUUGAGAAUUCCUGGCCACAUUACCCGUAUGUCUAAUGAUCGCACAGUACAACCUUGAGAAGCUUGUAAUGAGUACACAACUGGGUGCAAGUAGUUUUGAAAUGAAUUUGCCUCAAAUGAUUUCUUGCCGGUGAUUAAUAUAACCUCUAUUCCAAAAUUCUUGGAACUGGUCAUACUAGCAAUGAAGGAUUGCAUACAUUGAAGACAUAGCUGAAGGCCUUGCGAGAGCUCUGUCAGCCCUUGUACCGGAAAACAGCUGGUCGUAGUCGCUUGUGAAUGAUAUGAUUAAUAGAUACUGCAAAAAUGAAUUGUGCCAUACAUUUUCAGCGCUCUGUGAAGAUGUCUUGGUCAUUUGUUUGAUGCUUGUUUGAUUUAUGUUGUAUUCAGCCAUAAAUCAGAGAUUCAGAACUUGGGUAUGUUUCUGGUUUCCAAAUCAAAAAAUUGCCUUGUGAUGUUAGUGUUCACUGUUUUCACAGGAGAUCAGGUUCCUUGUUAAUGAAUCAAGAAGAAGGCAAGCGCAUCCAUGUCCAAGUUCAAAUGUGUCUCCUCUAUUUUCUAUUACCCACUCAUUUAUUUUGAUUUCUUCAUUGUAAUUGAAUUAGUUUUUUAUUCCAAAUUAGUCAAAACCUCGUAGAGUCAUUAAGUUCUUUUAGCAUUUAAAGACAGAACUACGAACCAAAUGAUUUAAGUUCUUCGUUGUAAUUGAAUUUGCUUUCCCAUCUUUAAAGAUAUUAUGUUCUUUUUCACUUUUUCGAUUUGGUUAGUGGUGAUUUCUUAAAGACUCAAUCCAUUUGCGUUAAUACAUUUUUCUUUUGCCUUGAUUUCUGUUUCUUGGGGAGUUUAUACAUAUUCUUAUUUUAUGCUACACAUGCCAUAUACAGAUUCUUAUUUUAUGCUUCACAUGCCACAUGAAAGGUCAAAGCCUUGUGUGUGAUUAGAAUUUACUGGCAUCAUAGUAACUUUAAACCAUUGUGACGUUUUAGUAAUAACAGUCUGAGCUCUCCCUGAAGGAUUCAAAGCAUUUUAUUUUAUAUUAUACUCCUUUAUAUGGUUUGGCUGGUCUCUUUUAAGGCAAUUCCUGUUUAAAGUAAUCAAAAUUUUGAUUUCGAAGUGUCUUUCAACACUACCGCUAGUUCUUUAAGAAAAGUAAAUCGAUUUUGAGUCUUCUGUAUCAUCUGAUUGAAAUACAUGAAAGCACUCUUAGCUGCAAAAGUACACUUGGAGUUAUAAUAGCAUUCUGAAAUCUCCUUGAAGGAUUCAAAAGCUCUUUAUUUGCUAGUCUUUGCUUGCAAUAAACUCCUUUAAUAUAGAUUGGUUGAUCUUCUUUAAAGCAAUUACCAUAAGUUCUUUAAAUAAUAAAACGACUUUGAGUCUUAUGUAUCAUCUUGUUGAAAUACAUGAAAGCACUCUUGGCUGUAAAAAUGCACUUGGGGUUAUAUAUAAAGUCUUCAACAGAAUUUUAUUUCCCCCUUUAUCCUCAUGGUGGUCUUUUUAGUUGUUUUUUAAGAAAUCGCUUGAAGGUUCUCUUUAAAAAUAAUUUUAACAUAAGCAUUCUUUAGAAGCACUUUAGAUGUCUGGCAUUUAGAAAAUUUUGUUCCUGUGUUCACAUAAUAUAAUAUAUAUAUAUAGAAAGCUGACUGUAGAAUAGAGGAGAACGAGUUGGUGUUGGUCUGAACUCUGAUCUUUGAAUCUCAUGUGACUCCACUACUUUUUACUUGUUCUGUACAAGGUCUUUUAGCUUUUCAAAAAGUUUUAGCUUUAUGGAUAAAAUACUGUUAAUUGUAAUCUAUAAAUAAUGAAAGGAAUUAAUAAAAUAUUUGGUAAAUUUUAUUUUCUAAAGUGUUAUGAGUUCUAAAACGGCUGUAUGUAUAUAAAUUUAUUUACACAUAUAUUUAUAAAUAUGAUUAUAUAAUAAUAUUUUAUGUGUACAUAUCAUAAUUGAUAACUAAAAUAAAUAUUUUUAUUUUAUUAAUGGUUUUUCCGUCUCAAUGUAGUUGGUAAUAAUAAUCUCUUUAGAUGUAACGAUUUUAUUUCCUAACUGAAUAAGGAAAAUUUUAGAUUUUUAUAAUAAAUGUUAAAUAUAUAUAGAAUUACAUUAAGUAUGAAAUAAUCCUCAAAAUUAGAUUUGAAAAGUUAUUCUUUUCUUGCUUUUAAAAAUAUGUCAUAUGAUGAGAUAAUUUUACUAAAAGUGAUUUUUUUUUAAAAAAAUUACUAAACAUCAAAAUUAACUCUUAACUUUUUAAAAUCAUUUCUAAUCUUCUCAUCCUAAGUUCUUUAUUGUUUUGUACAAAAUCCAAGGUUUUGACUUUUAUAAAAUGCCCACUCAAAAAUAAAUUAUUUUCUAAUUAAGAUUUGUUGUUAAUGUAUAACUCGAAGUAAUAUUAGAUAUUUGUAAUUUUAUUUCAAAAAUUUUAUUCAAAUGAUAUGGCAAGCAAUGAACAAUAGUUGAUAGCAAUUUUUUUUUUUUAACAAUGUUCAAAUCAAUCAGUUGCAUUAUCUCACCAUUUUUAUGAUGUCAUGUUAUUUUAAAUGAUUUUUUUAAUUUUUAUAUAAAACAUACGACGUGUUAACAUCAUUUGCAUAACUUGACCUUUUUUUUUUUCCUACAAAUAGUGUUUAAAAUUCAACACACAGAUGUGCCUCUUUCUUACUAUACUGGAAUCCUCGGUAAACUUUUUGUUUGCGCAAUUUAUGUGAGCAAAUUGUGUCUUCUUUUUCAUAUGUAAAUGUUUUUGAUAUCUUGAUGUGAAGGUAGAAAAUUGCAUGUUUUGAGUUUUUGCAUAUUUGAUGGAAACACAGAACCGUACCUGAAUAUUUCAGAACCCCCUUUUCUUUGAAGUUUGAACACUUUUCUUGAAUGUAUCAACUUUAUUUAUGGGAUAUGUUGCCAAAUUGGCAAAUCUAUUCGUUAUAAAACUUUCCUUUGACAGUUUAAUCUAAGCAGAUGUUAAUUCUGCAAAUAGAGUGUGCCUUAGAUUAGUUUCAUAGAUUUGUCUCCUUCUGUACAGUAAAAACUUUGAGCAUUUUCGCCAUAUUCUGAUCAAUACACUCCAACUAGUUAGUUCUUGAGGCGUUUUAUGGUUUCGUGGAGUGAGGCAAGAUGUAUACGUUUGCAAAUUGGCAAUGUCUUUUGCUUGAUGGGUUGAGAGUUGUGAGUGUCAACAGGAAACAAGACCUCUGUUUUAUGAACUCCAAAAAGUUAUUCUGUUAGAAAGAUCGAGACAGAGGCCAUACUAUAUUUAUUAUUGCUAUAAAAGUGUGAAAAAAUAUUCUUUAUUUAAUAUUCUAAACGAUUGAGCCAUUUAGUUAUGAUAUUCUGCUGUAUUGGGGCUAAUAAUCUAAGUCGGUUCAAAGUGGUAAAUUUAUAAAUUGAUAGGUAUGCCUGGUAUGACCGCUUACGUUGGAUUUUAUGAGGUCUGCUCUCCUAAGCAUGGAGAGUGUGUCUUCAUAUCAGCAGCAUCUGGUGCAGUUGGUCAGCUUGUGGGGCAGUUUGCAAAGUUAUUGGGCUGCUAUGUCGUCGGAAGUGCUGGAAGCAAAGACAAGGUAGGUUAUCUGUGUGAAGUACUUGAUUGUUUCCGUGUUACUUUCAAACAUUUAAAUUAAAAAGGAAAUUUUCAUAAUCUUGCCUUUUCUAUGAUUUUCAAAACCAAGGUUGAUCUACUGAAGAACAAGUUUGGGUUCGACGAGGCAUUUAACUAUAAAGAAGAAGCUGAUUUGAAUGCAGCAUUGAAAAGGUUAGCAUCAAUAAAUGCCUUAGCUUGAUGCAGCUUGAUGAAGUAUGAUACACAUUUCUGACCAAUAUACUGCGUUCCCUGAUCUCUUACUUGAAAUAUCUUGGUUUGAGAAUCUCAUGCCAAUGCCUUUAACAUUUUGGCAGGUACUUUCCUGAAGGAAUUGAUAUAUAUUUUGAAAACGUUGGUGGAAAAACGCUUGAUGCAGUGCUACCCAACAUGAAAAUCCGUGGUCGAAUUGCUGCAUGCGGUAUGAUCUCACAGUACAAUCUUGACAAGCCUGAAGGUGUGCACAACUUGAUGUAUCUUGUUUCGAAACGGCUUCGAAUGGAAGGAUUCAUUGUUCUCGAUCACUAUCACCUCUAUCCAAAGUUUCUGGAAAUGAUCAUUCCUCACAUCAAAGAAGGGAAGCUUGUAUACGUCGAAGACAUGGCUGAAGGUCUUGAGAGUGCUCCGGCAGCUCUCAUCGGUCUAUUCUCUGGCCAGAAUGUUGGGAAACAGGUGGUUGCUGUUGCUCCUGAAUGAAGAACAAGUUAGUGUUGCAGUUUGAAUGAUGCUGCUGCACAACUGCUGCCGAAAAAAUCCUUAAUAGAUGAUUAGCAAGGUUUCAAAAAUAAAAAGAAAUGUUUGUGCAACGUGCCGAAUAUGACAGCCACAAAGAAAGAGCAUACAAAUUGAUUGGUUUUAUGUCUUCUCUAGGAGAAAGCUACAAUACAAGAAAUUGUAUUGAUGGAGCCAUGGACCAAAUUUCUUAUUUAAACUUUUAAUUUUUUUUAUUAAAAUUACUUAUGUUAUUAUGGUUUAUAUUUUUAGAAAUUCUUUAGAAAUUAAUACAGAACUAGUAGCAAGUUGAGAAAUCUACUGAAUAGUCGAGAUAUGAUCAUGUUUAUUGAAUUAAAUUGACAAUCAUCAUUUUGAUAAAUUAUUGUUAGGAUAUUUGAUUCAUCACAGGUGUAAGUAACUAAAUGUGCUAAAAAAAAAGUUAAUGAGUUGUGAGUGUUUGAUAUUCGUUUGUUGUAAUUCUUUUAAUAAUUGUUGUGGGAAAAAAAUUAUGGUAAAAAAAUUAUAAUUAUAAAAUAAAAAUUAAUAAUAUAUUAUAAAUAAAAUUUUUAAAUAAUAAUUUUAAUAAAAUAAUAAAUAUAUUAUGAAUUUUUCAUUAUAAAUUUUUAAGUUAAAAUAAUAAAUAUUUAUUAAAUAUUUUAAUAGCACAACUUUUAAAUUAUAACAGUACAAUGUAAAUACCAGAGGUCUUAAAAAAUAAAAUUACAGUCAAGUUUUAAAACUGUUAAUAAUGCUAUUCAUAAAGGCGCUCGUCGUGUAAACAACACAUGGGACCCAACCAAUAAAUGUUUAUGAUCCUCAACUUUCCUCCUCACCGUCCCUGCAAACAAUUCUGAUCUUCUUGUCUGAGAAAAAAACUGAGAAACAAUGGCGGCCGAACAAGAAGCUGUGAGCAAUAAGCGGGUGAUUCUAAGCAACUAUGUGACAGGUUUUCCAAAAGAAUCGGACAUGAAGAUAACAUGUGGAUCAAUAAAACUGGAGGUAGCAGACGGUUUAAAAGACACGGUGCUUUUGAAGAAUCUUUAUAUUUCUUGUGAUCCUUACAUGCGAGAGCGUAUGAGCAAGCUUGAUAGACCUUCUUUUGUUGAUUCAUUCCAUCCUGGUGAGGUUAGUUCAUCACGACCCAUCUCUUGAUUUUUUUUUUUUUUUCAUUUGCUUCAAGUUUUGAUGAGUUUCUGAGGUCAUUUGUACGGUUUUGGAAUGUGAACACUAUUAGUGAUUUUGGGGCUGUAACUGUCAUUAAUGAUAUGUAGUAAUUCAAUCAGAAUUUGGAUUUAGUGCUGAUAUGAUCUCUGCUCAUUUUUUAAAAUCUUGUGUCCAGAUGCAUUUUUAUAAUCUUGUACGGUUGAGAUUGUAUGUAGAUUAAUCUACGUGCAGUAUUCUUGUCUAAUGACUACUAACCACAACCUUAUGAGACGAUCGAAACCAAGCUCAGAUCAAUAAUCCAAUUGAGAGAGGGUCCUAACUCAAGCUUAUCGUGUGUAGGAAUAUUUCGGUUAAAUUGUAAUUCUUUUAAUAAUUGUUGUGAAAAAAAAAAGUUAUGAUAAAAAAAUUAAUAAUUAUAAAAUAAAAAUUAAUUAUAUAUAAUAAAUAAGAUUUUUAAAUAAUAAUUUUAAUAAAAUAUAAUAAAUACAUUAUCAAUUUUUCAUCGUUAAUUUUUAAGUCACAACCACAAAUAUUUACUAAACACUUUAACACCAUAAUUAACACCACAACUAUUGAAUUAUAACUGUACAAUCUAGACGCCAAGAGGCCUUAGUAUGAAAAAAAAAAAUUACAGUUAAGUUAAAAUUCAUCAUACAGAUGUGCCACUUUCAUACUAUACCGGGAUCCUCGGUAAUGAUUUUUGUUACACAAUAAGAUUUGCUUAUAGUAAUAUCAAUACAUAUGCUGCUUAAAUGCUUUCUGAUUUUUUGCCGGCCAUUGUCCAUUUUGCCAGGGAGUCUAUAAUUGAAGGAAUUUACUGAAGGAAUGCUGAUUGUUGGGAAUUUGAUUAUUCUAGGUAUGCCUGGUGUAACUGCAUACGCUGGUUUAUACGAAGUUUGCUUUCCGAAGAAAGGAGAGUAUGUCUAUGUAUCUGCAGCAUCUGGAGCUGUUGGUCAGCUUGUUGGACAGUUUGCAAAAUUAGCUCGUUGCUAUGUUGUUGGAAGUGCAGGAAGCAAAGAAAAUAUAGCACCGUGCCUUCUAGCAGAAUUUUACUUGCUUUAUGUUCCAACUAAGCAUCCAUAUUUGAUCAUGAUAAUUAGCAAGGUCAAUAAUUUUUUUUUGACUAUUUUUUCAACGUAAGGUCGAUUUGUUGAAGAACAAGUUUGAACGAUGCUUUUAACUACAAGGAAGAGCCUGAUUUUGAUGCAGCACUCAAAAGGUCAGCUGCAACAAACGUUUCAACUCUAAUAUUUCAUUUUAAUAUUACAGAGCUUUGGUUGAAGUGUGUGAGUUGAUCCCAGAAACGUAACUUCAUCAGUGUCUCUGUUUUCAAAAAACAUGACAAAUAGAAAUCUGAUUUUGCUUUAAAAUUUCCCAGAUGCUUCCCUCAAGGAAUCGACAUAUAUUUCGAAAAUGUUGGGGGAAAGAUGCUGGACGCAGUGCUACUCAACAUGAGGCUCCGGGGCCGCAUUGCAGUAAGCAGUAUGAUCUCACAGUAUAACCUGGAAAAACCCGAAGGCGUACACAACUUAGAGCAACUGAUCGGGAAACGGAUUCGCCUGGAAGGAUUUCUAGCUGGUGAUUACUAUCACCUCUAUCUGAAAUUCUUGGAACUGGUCAUUCCUCCAAUCAGAGAAGGAAAGAUGCUGUAUGUGGAAGACAUGGCCGAAGGACUCGAGAAAAUUUCUCGUAACUGCUACACAUUAAACGCGUUUCACAUUUCCACUCUCUUUCUAUAAAUAAAUACGCACAUAAAAUUUCUCACCAUCCAAAAACAAAAUCUACAUAAAAAAUGGCGGGUGAAGAAGCAGUGAGCAACAAGCAGGUGAUUCUGAGCAACUACGUGACAGGGUUUCCCAAGGAAUCAGACAUGAAGAUAAUAACAGGCUCAAUAAACCUUAAGGUGCCAGAGGGUUCAAAAGACACAAUGCUUUUGAAGAAUCUUUAUCUUUCCUGUGAUCCUUACAUGAGAGGACGUAUGAGCGAGCUUGAUAAGCCUUCGUUUGUUGCCUCAUUCGAGUCUGGCGAGGUCAGUUACUUCAAUUCCCAUCUCUUGGUUUCAUAAUCUUUUAUGGUUUUAGAAGGUGUUUUAGGGAAACAUUGUGGUUUUGGUUAGUGGGCAUGAGUCUUUGAAGAGAUUAUAAUGUGUAGGACUAUGCAUGCAAUAAUAAGCAUAGGGGAUCUUGUUAGGAGAAGAUUCUCUUAGCAAAAUAAAAACUUUUAUCUUAUCAAAACAUAUGCAGGGAACUUAGUUAUGAUGUCAUGUUAGCAUUGUCUCUGAGGAUUUGAUUUCUUGAUGGGGAAAGGGGAAUUUAAGGUUACAUUAUUCAGCAAUGGUUUUUUUUUUAAAUUAUGUUCAAAUUAUGCAGCCUUUAAGCGGAUAUGGAGUGUCCAAAGUGUUGGAUUCCACGCCUCCAAAUUAUAAGAAAGAUGACUUGGGUGGUGUUUGUUUUUUAACUUAAUGACUUAAAGUGACUUAACUUAAUUAAUUAAGUUAAUUAGAGAUGUUUGUUUUUAUAACUUAAUGUGACUUUUUAAAUAAUUUUGACUUAAUAAAAUAAGCCAAUUUUAUUUACUUUUUACUUAAUAGAGACAUCUGAAUUAAGUCAAGUACUUUCUAAUGUCAAAAAUAUACAUGCUUUAUAAUUUAUUUUUCAUGUCUAUCCCAAAACUCACCCAUAGACAUUUACCCCACAUAAUAAUCUCAUCAUUAUUUUUUUAGCCGUCAUGAAAUCCCUCCUCACUUUGGUAUCAACUCCUCAACUAUUGAAGAUCAAAAUUACAUGCGACAACUUCGAGAUGAAUGGCAAAUCAACUGUUUCAAGCAUCUUAUUAGUUUUUUUUCUUUUUUAUAUUAUAUACGAUAAAAUUUGAAAUUUAUGGUAUUUUAUAUAUUAAAAUUCCAAAAUCAUUAUAUAUUCACUUGAAUAUAGUUUUACUUAUAAAUGUUAAAAUAUUGUGAUAUUUAAUAUAUUGUUUAUUUGACAUUCAAAUUUAAUAAGGAUACAAAUGUAAAAGUACAUAUUUUUCAGUUUUUUAAGUUGAAAAAAGAAAACAACUUAAUAAUUAUUUUUCGAGAUUCAGACGAAAAAACAAACAUAUUAUUCAGAUUCAGACAUUCAGAUCUAUUCAGAAUUUAGACUAAUUCAAGUCUAUUCAGAUUUCAGAUAAAAAAACAAACGCCACCUUGGUCCGGGGCUUAACCAGUUGGGAGGAGUUCAGUCUCAUCCAAUCACCACAACUUCUGAUUAAAAUUCUGGAUACAAGUGUGCCUCUGCCAUAAUUAAUUGACAGGUUGCUAUGUUGUUGGAAGUGCCGGAAGCAAAGAAAAGGUGAGUUUGCACCCUUAACCCUUACGCUCUAAAUAAAAACAUAACACCUUCUGAAAGAAUUGUGCAUAGAGAAUUUUGCAUGUCACAUUAUUUGUGUUCUAACUAAUCAUGGAUAUUUGAUCAUUAGUCUAACUAAAACUGACAUAUUACCACCUAGUUGACUGGUCUUUGAGAAAUGUUAGUUGAUAUAUGCUUGAAAUCAUACUUUGUUUUAUUAGAUGAUUAUAUUAACCUGCUUCUUUUUCUUUGUGCUGUUUCUCGUUUGAUUACAUUUUCAACAUUAGGUCGAUCUAUUGAAGCACAAGUUUGGGUUUGAUGAUGCCUUUAACUAUAAGGAAGAGCCUGACUUGGAUGCAGCUCUUAAUAGGUUAGCACGAAUGAAUGCUUUAACCAUUUUUCUCACUUCAUUAUUACAAUGCGCUGAUUGAAGUAAUCAGUGUUGGCUCUGAAAAUGUAACGUAUACUUCUCUGUUUUCAUAAAACAGGACAAACAGUGAUCAGUGAUCUCAUUCGUUACAUUGAUAUUUUCUACCAUUGCCAUACAUAGUAUAAACUAGGAAUUCAGUUGCUUAAUAGAUAUUCAUUUCAGAGGGAAAUUUUCACUUGCAGCUAACAGAAUCAUGUUUGUGAUGUAUGUUUAUUUGGGAAAUGAAAGGAUUUGUUGCAUUAUUUUAUUCCAAGUUUGCUGAAAUCAUAUUUGUUUUCCCAGGUGCUUUCCUGAAGUUAUCGACAUCUAUUUCGAAAAUUUUGGGGGUAAGAUGCUUGAUGCAGUGCUACUCAACAUGAGAAUUUGUGGCCGCAUCGCUGUAUGCGGAAUGAUCUCACAGUACAACUUUGAGAAGCCUGAAGGUGUACACAACUUGAUGCAAGUAAUUGGAAAACGAAUUCGCAUGGAAGGAUUUCUUGCCAGUGAUUUCUACCACCAAUAUCCAAAAUUCUUGGAACUGGUUAUGCCGGCAAUCAAAGAAGGAAAGUUAGUAUAUGUCGAGGACAUAGCUGAAGGCCUCGAGAAAGCUCCAUCAGCCCUAGUUGGGAUAUUCACAGGUCAAAAUGUUAAAAAACAACUGGUUGUAGUUGCUCGGGAAUGAUAUGAUUACUAUAUGCUUUAAAAAGUGGACUUUGCCAUGCACUUUAAAACCUUAGUGAAGAUGCCUUUGUCUUAUUUUUGAUACAUGUUAUGUUUGUUUGAUCAAGUUGUACUCAGCUAUAAAUCAAAGAUUCAGAACAUGUGUAUGAUACUGGUUUCUAAAUCAAUGAACGCCUUGAAAUGUUAGUGUUUUCACAGGAGAAUGCAAUUUAAUUCAUCAACAAUGUCCCAACAAGACCCUCAGAGCUGUAGCUUGUAAAGUUAAUUACGAUAUUUUUUUGUAAAGUAAAUUACCAUAUUUUUUUCUUUCCAAUAUAUUGCUUAUUUCAUAGAAAGUUUACAUUAAAGUCUCAUGUUUCUUUGAAAGGUAAGCAAGUGUGAACGUUUCAAUCUAGAGAUGGAAAAUGCAUUUCCGGGAACUUACUUGAUAAAUGAAGUUUUCAUCUCUGACCUUGAUGUUUCCCACAGGUGCAUUCAUUUCAGCUGAUCUAUAUAAUUUUGUUUUCGAAGGAGAGACACAAAAUCUCCGUUGUUAAGGGGAGAAUUUAGAGUGGCUUUGACUGUUAACAAAUAGCCUAAUGUAAGACUUAACCAACUUCCUGCCCUGUUGUAUGCUUAUGAAUUUUGAUAGAGCUAAGAGUUUGCAGAAGCUAUUGUAUUAUAUGUCGUUAGAGGCUGUAAACAUCAAACACAUUUAAAUUUCAAUGAAAAUUUACUGGAAGUAAAUUUCCUUUGAUCCCACAGGUGACUAAUUAAUGAGAACUUGACAAUGACAAAAGAAAGUGUAUGAACUUUGCAGGCUGGCAUGCCAAUAUUGACUGGGUGGCACCAUCCACCAUCUGCAAGUGAAUAUCAUUGUUGUUUAAUCAACAAGGUGGAGUCCACUGGGACCACACCACAUCGUCAGCCUUAUCUCUAUUCCUCAAUUUUCAGUAUUCCAUACAUCAAAACAAUUUCAGUUUUGUUAUCAAUUAUAAUUUCAUUGUUGGUGACGAUUCUGAUUCCUUUCUUUCUGACAAAACGGAACCAUGGUUGCUGUGGGAGAGAUCUUACUCAACGCCUUCUUUCAGGUGUUGUUUGACAGGUUGGCUUCCCGUGAUUUGCUCAGCUUUGUCCGUCAACUUGGAGGCGGGGUCGAUUCCGAGCUCAAGAAGUGGCAAAGAAAGCUGAAGAUGAUUCAGGCGGUGCUCAACGAUGCAGAGGAGAAGCAACUGACUGACGAGGCUGUGAAGAUGUGGCUGGACGAUCUCCAAGACUUGGCUUAUGACGCUGAGGACAUUCUUGAUGAGUUUGCUACUCAAGCUUUGGAAAGCAAGUUGAUGGCGCAAAAUCAGGAUAGCUCUGGCCAGCUUCUCAGUUUCAUCCCGGCUAGUUUGAAUCCGAAUGCUGUUAGGUUCAAUUAUAGCAUGAGGUCCAAGAUUAACGAUAUUACUAGCCGGUUGGAGCAACUCUGCAAAUAUAGAAUUGAACUUGGGCUGCAACGGAUUCCUGAAGGGGCAUCAUCAACUGCUGCUGCUGCACACCAGAGGCCACCCAGUUCAAGCGUCCCACCAGAACGUGAAGUUUUUGGUAGAGAAGAAGAUAAGGCCAAAAUUCUUGAUAUGGUAUUGGCCGAUAGCCCAAGUGAUCAUGCCGACUUUGCUGUAAUACCCAUUGUUGGCAUGGGCGGGAUAGGAAAAACAACUCUCGCUCGGGAGGUCUACAAUGACAAGGCCGUUGAACAUUCCAAGUUUGAUGUAAAAGCAUGGGUUUGUGUAUCUGAUGUCUUUGACGUUUUGGGCAUCUCAAAGGCGCUUCUCGAGUCAAUCACCCGCAGGCCAUGUCUUCUAAACAGUUUAAACGAAGUGCAGGUUGAAUUGAAAGUAGCUGUGGAUAAAAAAAGAUUCUUGCUGGUCUUAGAUGAUGUUUGGAACGAGGACUACAGCUUGUGGGUAGACUUAAAAGCUCCGUUCCUGGGUGCUGCACCAAACAGCAAGAUGAUCGUCACCACACGCAAUUCAAGUGUUGCAUCAACAAUGAGACCCAUUGAUCGUCACCACACGCAAUUCAAGUAUUACGAUCUCAAGAGUCUGUUAGAUGAUGAUUGCUGGUCCAUUUUCAUAAACCAUGCAUUUGAAUCUACAGACCUUAGCGCACAUCGAAUUUCAGAAUCAUUCCGCGAGAAAGUUGUUGGCAAGUGUGGGGGCUUGCCUCUGGCAGCAAAAACACUCGGGGGCCUUCUUCGUACUAAAACGCAUGCUGAGUGGGACGGUAUAUUGGAUAGCAAAAUAUGGGAUUUACCUCGGCAAAGCAGCAUUCUCCCCGUGUUAAGAUUGAGUUACCAUCAUCUUCCUUCUCAUUUGAAAAGAUGUUUUGCUUUUUGUGCCAUCUUUCCAAAAGAUUAUGCAUUCACUGAGAGGGAGCUGACUUUCUUAUGGAUGGCUGGAGGUAUUAUUCGACAGUCAAGAAACAAUGAGCAGCUGGAAGAUUUGGGCAGCAAGUGCUUUGGUGAUCUAGUGUCGAGGUCAAUUUUUCAACAAACAGCAAUCUCUGAUAGUUCUAAAUUUGUAAUGCAUACUUGAAAUUUCUGUCUUCAAUAUUUUGAUGCUUUCUUAUCCCAUGCACAAAAGUACUAGAAAAAACUAAUAACAGCUAACCGAAAAUCCCAGGCGUCAUAUUCCUUUUUACCGCGUUUUAAAAUGCACAACAAUGAUAUUCUUACAAAUUUGCAAAAUUUGUCAAUUUCUUAGAUUUCAGAUAUUUUAAUGCUUUUUUUAAUUUUUGAUCUAGUAAAAAUACACAGCCUUCACCGGCAGGAUUCUAGUCUUGGCUUUCACCUCUCUAACUCAUCUGUUCCCAUUGGGAUUCCAGAAAUUGAAAUUUCUGUCUUCAAUGGGUUUUCAAAGCCUCGCCUCUCUUCGAUUUUUGUGGAUCGGGAAUUGCACAAAUCUCACAUCAUUUCCCGAGGUCGAGGAAAAGAGCGGCCCAAACUUGCUCGCAUCCCUUAUUAGGUUAUGAUAGAUGGAAAAUUCAUAUACGAUCCAGAGUCAGAGGUGUUGAUUCUCUUAUUAAGGUCAGCUGAUUUCUAUUAUCCACUCUGACAAUCUCCUAUUCGUGUUUUUCCUUUUUAAAUUUUUUUUCCAAAAUUUUGCAGUUCCGUAUAUUGGUGUUUGUUAAGGUAAUUAGUGCUCCCUCAAUAUUGCAUUUUAGACUGCCAAAUGUAGCAGUAAUUUUAAUACAAUUUUGUUGGUGCCUUGUGUUCCAGAAGCUAGAAAAAUGUGUAGUUUUCAGAUAAGGAGGCUUGUCAGUUCUCUAGUAAGAAUCCAAUGAUUUGCUUUUGCACGUCCAUCUAAUUUGUGGAUCCUUGCAUCAGAAUUUGAUCAAUCCAAAAGGAAUUGCUUUUAGACAGAAGAAGAAUAGCAGCACCUAGCCUACCCGCAAACCUGAAACUAUUAGAUUGAGGUAAAAAAAUCAUUGACCCUCACAUGUUAACUUCUUCUAGUUACUUUCAUUGGGGAAAAAAAAACAUUUAAGGAAUUUGCAAUUUGUUGUUAGUUAUGGUAUCUGAUGUUCUUUUCUGCUUUAGCGUUUGUAGAACCUACUGUAUUAUGUGUUGGCAGUUGCCGUAUCUGAGGUAACUUGCCUUUAUUUGUUUGCUUCUGAGUUAAGGACACCAACAUUUGCCAGAGAUUUAGAGAAUCAUCUCAAAACACUUAGCAAACUUGACAAACUUCAAGAUGCACUUGCCCCCACGCCUUAUUCUCAACAACGCAAAACUUGUGAGUACACCUAUGCCUGCAAUUAUUGUGAAGUGUUCGCAAUUCUGAUGCAGAGAAAUGGUUUCUUGAUGCAAAGUAUUAAACUGUUAAGAUUUAUCCUGCAGGCUUGUUAGAUGUUGUAUACUCGAAAAGCCAACAACAUCAAGAACUACAACUCCAAGACCAACUUUGCGUUAAUUCAGUCAGCUGUAAAAAUGAUGCAAAUGACACUAUAUCAAGCUGGACUUAGAGACUAGUCAGAUCAAUCAUCCAUUUCAUCAACGGUUAAUGUCAUGAUGGUGGCUAUCAGAGGAAACAAAAGAUGUGUCAGAAUCUAUACGAACAUUGAGAAGCAUGAGAGGAGCUUUGAUUUUGAGUAGGGUCAAUGAACUCAUGUUGGUAAGUGGUGAUUAAAGAAAUUUGUAAGCUUAGUAGAGUUUCAGUAUUUUCUGUUUGGAGUAUAGUUGAUAAGUUGACUCUGUUUAAGAAGCCCGAUUAUAGUAGCUGACUGUAUUAACCUUUUUUUUUUUGGUCUGCUGUUGUUUUUGGUUUCGAUUAUUUUUUCAACAUUGGGUUGAUCUGUUGAAGAACAAGCUUGGGUUUGAUUAUGUUUUAACUAUAAGGAAGAGCCAGACUUGGUUGCAGGCGUUAAGCUUUUAAUGGGUAAGAACAAAUGAAUGCUUUAACCAUGUUUCUCACUUAUUAAAAUGCAUGGAUUGAAGGCAUCUGGGUUGAUCCUGACAAUGUGAUGGAAAUACUUCUCUGUUUUCAUGUAACAGGACAAAUAGAGAUCUCUGAUCAUGCCUGAAUUUUUGUUGCAUUGAAAUUUCUACCAUUACCAAACAUAGAAUGAACUGGGGAUACAUUAGCUUAAGACUCAAUUUUGAGAAGGAAGUUUGUACUUGCAGCCUAUAAAAUCAUGUCCGUGUCGUACGUUUCUUUGGGAAAUGAAAGAUUCUGUGUGUUCUUUUAUUUCAAGUUCACUGAAAUCACAUUUGUUUUCUCCGAUGCUUUCCAGAAGGUAACAACAUCAAUUUCAAAAAUGCUGGGGCAAGAUGCAUCAUGCAGUGCGACUCAACUUGAGAAUUCCUGGCCACAUUACCCGUAUGUCGAAUGAUCGCACAGUUCAACCUUGAGAAGCUUGUAAUGAGUACACAACUGGGUGCAAGUAGUUUUGAAAUGAAUUUGCCUCAAAUGAUUUCUUGCUCGCAUCCCUUGGGUUAUGAUAGAUGGAAAAUUCAUAUACGAUCCAGAGUCAGAGGUGUUGAUUCUCUUAUUAAGGUCAGCUGAUUUCUAUUAUCCACUCUGACAAACUCCAAGACCGGGUUUUUUUUUUUUUUAAUUUUGCCGUUCUGUAUAAUUGAAAUGCCACUCACUUGUUUCCUUCUUCACAGGUCCGAUAGUAUGUUGAGGCUAUUUGCUUUUUAUCGGUGUUUGUCAAGGUAAUUAGUGCUGCCUCAUAGGUUGAUUACUCACAGAUGAAAUCAUAACUUUUAUCUUAAAAUUUAAUAGCAUACACAGAUAGAUGAUUUUUAGUCCAAAGUUUUUUUAUUCACUUCAAUCAAAAUUUUAGAUUGCAGAUUUUUGUCAAGUAUUUCAUUACAAUUUUUUCAUUUUUUAUUUUAAACCAGAAUAUGAGUAUAACAUUUUGGAGCGUGCAUACUCUGAUGCAUGCAAUUAACUGUUUUUAAUCAUUGGAUUUUGAAAUUAAUAAUGGUAAGAUGUGUACUUAUUCUGUCUUCCAACAACCUUGGCCUCUUUCUUCGGUCGCAUAUCUAAUGAAUAUUUCUCUGUUUAGUUAAGGAUGAAUGCUUGGAGUGGGGUACUUGGUAACAUUUCUGCCUCAGAUGAAUCCUUGAAGAAAUGCCCGCAGUUCCUGAGACCAAAUACAGGUCUGAUUCAAAACAGCACCUUUCUCAGAAAAUAUGAUCCAAGGCAAAGUCAUGUUCUGAUAAUGUUUCCUUAAGUACAAAGUUGCAAGGAAACUUGAUUCAUUAACUACAGUUUUUUAUUUUUAGGACCUUGUAUCUGAAAGGUUCAGUGUUUUUUUUUUUUCAAAUUUAUUGUUCAGAUCUCAGAGGAGUAUAUGGUUUAGAUUACAAAACACCCAUGAUUAAUUUCAUUUUUUUUUUUUUAUUUCAGGGAGAAGAAGUGGUCAGUUUCAAUCCGGAAUUGGAAUAUGGCAAUUUGGUUCAAGCACACACACCUGGUCACUUGGUCAGUGAACCUGAACUUUACGCAGUUUUUUCAACUCAGUGAUUUUUGGAACGCAUAGUGGUGUAAGGAAAUCAAAAGAAAUUUAUGCAUAGUCAAAUUCUGAUAUUUGCUAUAUAUUAUACAUUCUAAAGUUUCUCCAGUUUGUUCUCAGAUUACCAUCAUUUUUUGCCUUCACCAAAAAAAAAAAAUUGAGUGGCUUUCCAGUGGAUAUUUAAUCGGAGGUAUGACUGGAUUUUUUUCACUUCUGUAAAUCUUGCAUUUUAAACUGGCAAAUUUAACUUUAAUUUUAAUACGACUUUGUUGGUGCCUUGUGCUCCAGAAACUAGAAAGAUGUGUAGUUUUCAGAUAAAGGGGCUUGUAAAUUCUCUAGUAAGAAUCCAAUAAUUUGCUUUUGCACGUUCAUUUUAUUUGUGGAUCCUUGCAUCUGAAUUUAAUCAAUCCAAAAGGAAUUGCUUUUAGACAGAAGAAGAAUAGCAGUACCUAGCCUAUGACAUAGUAUAUGGACCUGCAAACCUGAAACUAUUAGUUUGAGGUAAAAAAUUCAUGACCCUCACAUGUUAACUUUCAUGAAAAACACAUUUAAGAAAUUUGCAAUUUUUUGUUAGUUUCGUAUCCGAUGUUGUUGCAUCACAGUAACUUUAAACCACUGCGACAUUUUUAUAAUAACAGUCUGAGAUCUCCCUGAAGGAUUCAAAGCAUUUUAUUUUAUAUUAAACUCCUUUAUGUGGGUUUCGACACUACCACAAGUUCUUUAAAUACUAAAACGAUUUUAAGUCUUUUGUAUCAUCUUAUUGAAAUAUAUGAAAGCACUCGUGGUUGCAAAAAUACAGUUGGGGCUAUUUCUAAAGUCUUCAACAGCAUUUUCUUUUUAACCUUUAUCCUCAUGGUUGUUUUUGCAGUUGUUCUUUAAGAAAACAUUUAAAAGGUUCUCUUUAUGGAUUUUUGAAAAUAAUUUUAACAUUAGCAAUUUUCAGAAGCACUUUAGAUGUCUGGCAUUUAGAAAAUUUUAUUCCGGUGUCACAUAAAAUACUUAGGAAGUUAAAUUUAUUUAUUUAUGAGCAUGUGCCAGUGCCCUGUGGCAUCCUCUUCACUUGUGAUAGUCAAAUAUAUUAUACGAUACAAUAUUAGCUUGACUGUAGCACAGAGGAGAAUAGGGUUGGUGUUGGUCUGAACCAGCUUAUGUAACAGCUGCCAAAAGGAUAAUUUAAUUGUACUUUGAGUAAAGCUUUUGCGAAUUAAACAAGUGAUAAUUUGUUUCUAUUAAGAAAAACUUAAAGGAUAGGGCUAUUUUAACUCACCAAACUACACAUUAAAAAUCCACUUACAAAAAUAGUUUUUAAUUAUUAAAAUAUUCCUAAAUUAAAUUAUAAUUAUGGACACUAAAAUAUAAUUUUUUUUAUAUUUUACUUUUUGAAACUGUCUUUAUAUUCGAUAUUAUAUUUUUUUUCUUAAACUCUAAAUUGAUAUUUUUUUAUUAAUUUUAAAACACAUAUAAAGUGAUUUAUAUUGAUUUUAUACUAACAAACUAUUAUAGCACAUUCGAAAAAUAAUUAAAUCGUUCUUAUUUACAUAGUGAAAAUGCAAAUAGCUCAUUCAAAUGUUAAGGAAUUGGAGAGCUGCUGCUGGAGAUGAAAGAUGUGAAUUAAACAUCAGAGAAAAAAUUAUGUUCACUAUCUUGCCAGACCAAGCACCGAAGAGCGUCGUAAAGAAAAAUUAGAUAAUUUAGAAGAUAAAGCACGUGGAAUGGAGGCAGAAAGCAAGUAAUGAUAACUCUUUCGACAAACUAAUAUAUACCAAAAUGCAAUAUCGGCCCUAAUAAAAAAUGAAAAUAAAAAUUCAUUACGAAUACUUGUUAAAGAUAUCCCAAGUAUAGAUGUGACUGAAAUAUUUGAGAUUGAAGAAGAAUUAAGACUCAAAAUCAAUUGGGAGGAAUAAAUGAGAAACCCCAAUACCAAAAAAUACACGCACAAAUCCUAAUACUAAUUGUAAUCACGGAUAAAAAGCAUAAUACGAAUAAAUUACAUGGGCAACUAUUCCAUUGAGAAAUUAAUUAAAUCGUGUAUUAAUAUUUUGUAUACAUAUAUUUUUCUAUACAUAACUUUCGGUAAUUUAGUUUUCCACUUAUCAUUUUUACUCCAAAAAAGUAAUUGAGAAUAUUAUUUAUGUUUUGGUACAAAAUAUUUGAACAAUAUACAAAUUUUCAGUUUAAUAAAUCUAAACAUCUAUUAAGUUAUAAAUGAAUUUAAUGGGUUUAAUUAAUAAAAUUACUAUUAUUAUAUAAAUUGGGUUUAGUAAUGGUAUAUUGGGUGGGUUUGUUGAGUAAAUUUUAAAAUUUUGAAAUUUAAGGAUGAAUUUAUUUAGUAAAUGAAUUCAGGGAGUAAUUUGUUGGGAUUCACAUAGCCCCACCAAAUUCAAAUGUAAAAUUUUUGGAAAAAGAAGCUAUUGAGUUAUUCUAAAAAAUAAUUAAAAUGUCAAGAAUACCUUUAUUUAAUUUUAUAAUCUUAUUUUAUAGUCAUAUUUUAUUUCCACCUUAACAUAAUUUUAAAAACCUUAACUAAUAAAUUCUAUAUUUUUUUUUAUAAAAGUUAUCAUUAAUAUCCAAACGGCUACAGAUUUUUUUUUUUUAAAAAAAGGAACUAUGCUUACAAAAGUUGUAUACAUUAACAAUAAAUUUAGUCCAAAGAAUAAAGUUAUUCCAAACAAGCACUCUAAUUCAUCUUGCUAAUGAAUCAAGAUGACUGAAUCCUUCUCUGAGCCAAAUCUAUUUUCACUUUUAGGUCAGAAAUUGUCAUUAAAAAAGUGUUUGAUAAAAUAUGCUCUGGGAACACUAAUUCGUCAGAUGGUUACUCCAAGUUUAUGAAAUCAAUGGGAUUUCAUCAUAUUCAUAACAUUCUUCUUGAAUGUCUAUUCUAACAAAGAAAUCAUAUACAGAGAAUAGGUUUCGUUAAAACUUUUUCUAGAAAAACUAACCACAAUUCAUCAUUCAUUUAUCUCUUAAGUAAGCGUAAGAUUUUAUCAUUAAAAUCCCAUCAUGAAAAAACUCAUGGGAGAAAAACUAUAAAAAUUGAAGAAAAAAGAGUAUGGCGUGCAUGUAAAUUAUAUCGAUUUUAUCUACAUGACAAAUAAGACUCUCUUUUACAAUGGCACGGAUGCUUCAUUGAGUAAUCAUGAUUCUUGCUGGUAGUGCUUUGUUGUAUCAAUCUGCUAGCUAUUCAGCGUUCUUUCUUUCUUUCUUCUUAUUUUUUUGUUUUCAAAUAGCUUGUGGUUGUAGAAAUAUUUCAAUUAAACUAUACUUAAGUACUUAUUUGGUAUAACUUCUUUACUAACCAAAAGAAUUUUUUUUUUUGGUUUUUUAUAAUUUAAUUAUACUUUAACUAGAGUUUUUGGGAUAAAACAAGUGAUAAUUUCUCUCUAUUAAGAAAAACUCAAAGGGUAGGGCUAUCUCAAUCCACCAAACUAUUUAUUAAAAAUCCACUUAUGAAAAUAAUUUUUAAUUAUUAGAAUGCGUUUACAUUAAAUUAUAAUUAUGGACACUAAAAUAUAAUAAAUUUUUUUUUUACUCUUUAAAAUUGUCUUUACAUUUGAUAUCAUAUCUUUUUCUUAAAAUCUAAAUUGAUAUUUUUAUUUUAUUUUUGAUUAAUCUUAGAACACAUAUAAAGUGAUUCAUAUUGAUUUUAUACUAACAAACUAUCACAGCACAUUCGAAAAUAAUUAACUCGUUCUUAUUUGCAUAGUGAAAAAGGCAAAUAGCUCACCCAAAUGUUAAGGAUAUGAAAAGCAUGGUCAAGAAAAAUUGCAUAAUUCUCACUUAGAAGAGAGGUAGCCGCCACCACCACCAGUGAAACUAUUUCACAUAAUAGAAGAUAAAGCACGCGUAAUGGAGGCAAAAAGCAAGUAAUGAUAACUCUUUUCGACGCACUAAUACAUAUCAAAAUGCAAUAUCGGUCCUAACAAAAUGAAAAUAAAAAUUCAUUACGAAUAUGUGUUAAAGAUAUCUCAAGUAUUGAUGUGAUUGAAAUAUUUGAGAUUGAAGUAGAAAUAAGACUCAAAAUUAAUUGAGAGGAAUAAAUGAGAAACUCUAAUACUAAUAAAAUAUAUUCACAAAUCCUAAUGCUAAUUAAAAUCACGGAUUAAAAAAAAUAAUAUGAAUGAAUUACAGGCGCAACUGUUUCAUUAAGAAAUUAAUUAAAUCGUGUAUUAAUAUUUUGUACACAUACAUUUUUCCAUAUAUAACUUUUGGUAAUUUAGUUUUCCACUUAACUUUUGGUGAAAAAAAUAAUUGAGAAUAUUAUUUAUGUUUUGAUGCAAAAUAUUUAAACAACAUAAAAAUUUUCAGUUUAAUAAAUCUAAACAAUUCUCAAGUUAUAAAUGAAUUUAAUGGGUUUAAUUAGAAAAAAUACUAUUAUUUUAUAAAUUGGGUUUAGUAAUGGUAUAUUGGGUAUUUAAAUGGGUUUGUUGAGUAAAUUUUAAAAUUUUAAAGUUCAAGGGUGGGUUUAUUUAGUAAAUGGGUUAAGGCAGCAAUUUUCCAAACUAAAUUUUUGGAAAAAGAGGUUAUUGAGUUUUUUUUUUUAAGAAAAAGAAUUAAAAUGUUGAGAAUACCUUUAUUUAAUUUUAUAAUCUUAUUUUAAAAAAUUUACCCAAUAAAUUUGAUAAUUUUUUAUAAAAAUUAUCAUUAACAUCCAAACAGCUGAAGAUUAAAAAAAAAAAAAAAGAAGGGAACUGUACUAGCAAAAGUUACAUUAACAAUAAAUUUAGUCCAAAGAAUAAAGUUAUAGCUAAAAAGUGCUCCUAUCCUAUUUUUCUCUAUUUUAACAAUAAUCUUCCAAUCCGUUUUACAAUGGACUUUAACAAAUGGGCUCAAUUAACAAGAUUGAUCAAGAAUUAACAAGACAAGAUGAAGAGAUGAUCUUGUAACUAAGAAUGAAGAAAUUACGCACAAAGCAGUAAAUUUGUAAAACCAGAAUUGGAGCUUCACUUCUCAAGAGAGACGAAACAGGAUACAAUCUAGCUUUGGUCAACUUCGUUUGGCCACGUCAUAAAGUCUCCCCACAGUCUUUCCCGCCAAAACAGAAAAGCUUUAAAAGCCAUUUACCUUCCUGAGUUACUUGCUCCUAUUACAUCAAGGCCCUGGAAGUCUAUAUUUAUUAUUACAAAAGCACUCUUAGGGUGCGUUUGGAAUUGAGGUGUUGUAGUUUUUAAGCUACAGCUGUUGUGAAAAAAAACUGUAAUUAUGAAAUAAAAGUUAAUAAUAUAUAGUAAAUAUAAAUUUUAAAUAAUAAUUUUAUCAAAAUUAUUAAAGAUAUAAUAAAUUUUAUAUUAUACAAGUGAAAAAUUAUAUCAACAUAGCUUAAAAGCUACAGCAGUUAAUGUUUACCAAACACUUUAGUGCUGUAGCUUUUAAGCUUCAGCUGCCCAAUCUCAAUCGCAAACGCACCCUUAAACCGAGAUCGAAGCGCAUGAUUUCAUUACAAAGCAUUCGCAAAGAAAUUGUUUUUAAAUGAAACUCCUCGUCUUGACCAGAUUAUUUAUUAUUAUUCAAAAACAAAUGCUCAAAGCUUAGCCAAAGUGAUAAACUCGUAAUUAUUCUACAAAGGGAACAAUUUUGAACGGUGGGAAAUUCCAUAAUUAUGCUUUUCUGUGAAUUAUUUUAAAUAAAAUUAUAAAAACCAAUAUAAAAUUAUUACCCAGUAAAGACUUUAGAGAGACAAAUGUCCCCAACAGGAUCAAGUGAAUAUGCCCCACAAAGAUCACAUGAUCAUUUCUUGUUCUUUUUCUUUUGGACAAUUUUAGACAAUAUAAAAGAAAAAAUAUUAAAUUUUUUUAACCGAAUUAUUUUGACUCAAUUUGGUUCAUAAUUUUUUAAACCAAAUGGAACCCUCAUAACAAAAAACUAACGGAAACAAUAAGAACACGAUGUUAAAAUCUUAAAUCAAUCGCAAAAAAGCACCCAAAACAGAUCGAUUAGGAACAGUUAACAACAAAAGAUUUGAUGGUUCAAAAUCAUAAUGUGACCUACUUCCAUCCAAGAAUUAUACUAAUUUCUUUACUAGUUGUCAAAUACAAGAUCACAAGAUUAUUUAUCACUCUAUAGAGAAAAACUUUUUAGAAGAAAUACUCCCCAAUUUUUCUCUUGAUAGUUAUGAAUCAACACCCCUAGAAAGGCUAUUGAUUUAUUUUUCCUUAUUUCAUAUGAUCGGUUGCUGCAACUUAAUCCUUGCCAAGUUCCAACAUAGUCCAAACAUUUUUCAUGGUACAUGCAUAGUGCACCUUCAGAAACUUUACAGCUCUUCUUAAAACCUCAGUUCUCGUGAUGUUUCUGAUUUAUUUUUGGGACGAGUAACACUUUUGUUGAACCUAGACCAGAUUUAGUAUCCAAUCAAGAAUUUCCAGGAUCUAGCUGAACUCUCUAAUCAAGACCUAAAGAAUAGUUAAUCAAAUCCACACAAAAGAAUCACCCAAAAACAGUAUACAAAGAACAACAAAUAUAAGUGGUUUUGAGAUAAAUGUAAUUGACUUCUGAGCAUGACUUAAUUUUGAGAUCAUUACUUUUAGUUAAAUGAUCUCCUCCAGAGCUUCUACCUAUGUAGUGUUUUUAGACCUCUAUAGUUGAUAAAGCACGUUCAAGGUGAAGGCUUGUUUUCCAAUCUAUAGUCCAAUUAUAGACUGGAAAUGGUCAGGCUUAAUGCACCUUCAAAAGCUUCACAAUUUGUAUUGAAACCUUAAGCCUCAGAAUGCUACAAAUUUUAAAUCCAUAUACUUAGUGCUCUUAUGAUUUGUUUGAUUUUUACUUAGAUGAAGAGCAUUUUAGCUAUAGAAUACAUUGUAACUAAUUCAAAGCAUGCCUUAGCUACGAGAUCAUUCAUUCUAGCCAAAUGCCCCCUUUAGAGAUUCUGCUAUUGUUGUGUAUUCAGCCUCUAUAUUUGGCAAAGCAAUUACAUGUCGAAGGCUUGCUUUCCAGUUAACAGCGCAAUUACAUAGAUUAAAGGUGUAACCAGGCAAAGAACUUAGUUAUUCUGCCAAGGUCUCCAACAUACUCCAAAUCCAUAUAACCACCAGACUUCAAUCUUUAGACUCCAUAGAUCAAACCAUAACUUAGUGUGCCUUUCAAUCUCAGGUAACAUUUUACUGUUUUCCACGUCUUGCCAUGUACUUGCUGCUAACACUAACAAUUUGAGAAAUGUUAGGCAUCGUAAGCAGCCGACAACACUCUUCUUCAUUUCUUCAUUGUCAAUUUCUUUCUUGGAACAUUGCUCCAUUGAGAGUCUGCUAUCAUUGCUCCAAUUAUUAUUAUUUUUGUUUUUUUUUAAAAAAAAAAUAACCGUGCAAUAAGAGUAUAAGACUAAGCAACGGUCCUUUUUUUUUUACCCAUUCUUGAACAUGAAGUAUUUGAGUAUGUAAUAAAAAUUGUUUAUUGAUAAUUAAAAGUUAAUAGUGGGUGGCUUUAGGUUUUGUUUACAAAAUUGACAACAAAUUAAGAUUUUUCAAAUUCAUAGGUAAGAAACUUUUCAUUUAUUCAUAGAUUUUCCGGUUUAAACUUUAAAGGAAACUUAAAAGAAAAAGAUGUAUCAUUAGAUUUGUAAUUAAAAAAAUUUAAUAUUGUAUGAUCUGUUCGAUAUGCAUAAUUUAAAUAAACAUUAAUAUAGAUGUUAUAUAUCCUAAAACUUAAUUGACUUAAUUCUUACGGUGCAAGGAAGACGUUUCCAAGUUUAAAUCUAAUUUGGGGUCGGGAAAGCACUGGGAAAUAAAUGUAACAAAGGAAAAAAGAAAAGAAUGACAGUCUGAGUGGAGCCAACACGGUUUUGAAAAAAGUGCAAAAAAGGGUUUUAGGAUAUACUCUAUUAUCGUUUGUUUGCUUGCUUGUGGAAAUAAAAGUCUCAUGUUUCUUUGAAAGGUAAGCAAGUGUGAAUGUUUCUAUCUAGAGCUGGAAAAUGCAUUUCCGUGCAACUUACUUGAUGAAUGAAGUUUUCACCUCUGACCUUGAUGUUUCCCUGAGCUGCAUUCAUUGCAGCUGAUGUAUUUCAUUUUGUUUUCGAAGGAGUGACACAAAAUCUCCUUUGUUAAGGUGAGAAUUUAGAGUGGCUUUAACUGUUAACAAAUAGCCUAAUGUAAGACUUAAUCAACUUCCUGCCCUGUUGUAUGCUUAUGAAUUUUGAUAGAGUUAUGAGUUUGCAGAAGCUACUGUAUUAUAUGUUGCUAGAGGCUGUAAAAAUGAGGCAGAUCAAACACACAUUUAAAUUUCAGUGACAAUUUACUGGAAGUAAAUUCCUAUGACCCUACAUGUGACUGUGUGGCACCAUCCGCCAUUUGGAAGUGAAUAUCAUUAUUCUUUAAUCAACAUGGUGGAGUCCACGGGGACCACACCACAUGGUCAGUCUUAUCUCUAUUCCUCAAUUUUCAGUAUUCCAUACAUCAAAACAAUUUCAGUUUUGUUAUCAAUUAUAAUUUCAUUGUUGGUGACGAUUCUGAUUCCUUUCUUUCUGACAAAACGGAACCAUGGUUGCUGUGGGAGAGAUCUUACUCAACGCCUUCUUUCAGGUGUUGUUUGACAGGUUGGCUUCCCGUGAUUUGUUCAGCUUUGUCCGUCAACUUGGAGUGGGGGUCGAUUCCGAGCUCAAGAAGUGGGAUAGAAAGCUGAAGAUGAUUCAGGCGGUGCUCAACGAUGCAGAGGAGAAGCAACUGACUGACGAGACUGUGAAGAUGUGGCUGGACGAUCUCCAAGACUUGGCUUAUGACGCUGAGGACAUUCUUGAUGAGUUUGCUACUCAAGCUUUGGAAAGCAAGUUGAUGGCGCAAAAUCAGGAUAGCUCUGGCCAGCUUCUCAGUUUCAUCCCGGCUAGUUUGAAUCCGAAUGCUGCUAGGUUCAAUUAUGGCAUGAGGUCCAAGAUUAACGAUAUUACUAGCCGGUUGGAGCAACUCUGCAAAGAUAGAAUUGAACUUGGGCUGCAACGGAUUCCUGAAGGGGCAUCAUCAACUGCUGCUGCUGCACACCAGAGGCCACCCAGUUCAAGCGUCCCACCAGAACGUGAAGUUUUUGGUAGAGAAGAAGAUAAGGCCAAAAUUCUUGAUAUGGUAUUGGCCGAUAGCCCAAGUGAUCAUGCCAACUUUGUUGUAAUACCCAUUGUUGGCAUGGGCGGGAUAGGAAAAACAACUCUCGCUCGGGAGGUUUACAAUGACAAGGCCGUUGGAGAUUCCAAGUUUGAUGUAAAAGCAUGGGUUUGUGUAUCUGAUGUCUUUGACGUUUUGGGCAUCUCAAAGGCGCUUCUCGAGUCAAUCACCCGCAGGCCAUGUCUUCUAAACAGUUUAAACGAAGUGCAGGUUGAAUUGAAAGUAGCUGUGGAUAAAAAAAGAUUCUUGCUGGUCUUAGAUGAUGUUUGGAACGAGGACUACAGCUUGUGGGUAGACUUAAAAGCUCCGUUCCUGGGUGCUGCACCAAACAGCAAGAUGAUCGUCACCACACGCAAUUCAAGUGUUGCAUCAACAAUGAGACCCAUUGAUCGUCACCACACGCAAUUCAAGUAUUACGAUCUCAAGAGUCUGUUAGAUGAUGAUUGCUGGUCCAUUUUCAUAAACCAUGCAUUUGAAUCUACAGACCUUAGCGCACAUCGAAUUUCAGAAUCAUUCCGCGAGAAAGUUGUUGGCAAGUGUGGGGGCUUGCCUCUGGCAGCAAAAACACUCGGGGGCCUUCUUCGUACUAAAACGCAUGCUGAGUGGGACGGUAUAUUGGAUAGCAAAAUAUGGGAUUUACCUCGGCAAAGCAGCAUUCUCCCCGUGUUAAGAUUGAGUUACCAUCAUCUUCCUUCUCAUUUGAAAAGAUGUUUUGCUUUUUGUGCCAUCUUUCCAAAAGAUUAUGCAUUCACUGAGAGGGAGCUGACUUUCUUAUGGAUGGCUGGAGGUAUUAUUCGACAGUCAAGAAACAAUGAGCAGCUGGAAGAUUUGGGCAGCAAGUGCUUUGGUGAUCUAGUGUCGAGGUCAAUUUUUCAACAAACAGCAAUCUCUGAUAGUUCUAAAUUUGUAAUGCAUACUUGAAAUUUCUGUCUUCAAUAUUUUGAUGCUUUCUUAUCCCAUGCACAAAAGUACUAGAAAAAACUAAUAACAGCUAACCGAAAAUCCCAGGCGUCAUAUUCCUUUUUACCGCGUUUUAAAAUGCACAACAAUGAUAUUCUUACAAAUUUGCAAAAUUUGUCAAUUUCUUAGAUUUCAGAUAUUUUAAUGCUUUUUUUAAUUUUUGAUCUAGUAAAAAUACACAGCCUUCACCGGCAGGAUUCUAGUCUUGGCUUUCACCUCUCUAACUCAUCUGUUCCCAUUGGGAUUCCAGAAAUUGAAAUUUCUGUCUUCAAUGGGUUUUCAAAGCCUCGCCUCUCUUCGAUUUUUGUGGAUCGGGAAUUGCACAAAUCUCACAUCAUUUCCCGAGGUCGAGGAAAAGAGCGGCCCAAACUUGCUCGCAUCCCUUAUUAGGUUAUGAUAGAUGGAAAAUUCAUAUACGAUCCAGAGUCAGAGGUGUUGAUUCUCUUAUUAAGGUCAGCUGAUUUCUAUUAUCCACUCUGACAAUCUCCUAUUCGUGUUUUUCCUUUUUAAAUUUUUUUUCCAAAAUUUUGCAGUUCCGUAUAUUGGUGUUUGUUAAGGUAAUUAGUGCUCCCUCAAUAUUGCAUUUUAGACUGCCAAAUGUAGCAGUAAUUUUAAUACAAUUUUGUUGGUGCCUUGUGUUCCAGAAGCUAGAAAAAUGUGUAGUUUUCAGAUAAGGAGGCUUGUCAGUUCUCUAGUAAGAAUCCAAUGAUUUGCUUUUGCACGUCCAUCUAAUUUGUGGAUCCUUGCAUCAGAAUUUGAUCAAUCCAAAAGGAAUUGCUUUUAGACAGAAGAAGAAUAGCAGCACCUAGCCUACCCGCAAACCUGAAACUAUUAGAUUGAGGUAAAAAAAUCAUUGACCCUCACAUGUUAACUUCUUCUAGUUACUUUCAUUGGGGAAAAAAAAACAUUUAAGGAAUUUGCAAUUUGUUGUUAGUUAUGGUAUCUGAUGUUCUUUUCUGCUUUAGCGUUUGUAGAACCUACUGUAUUAUGUGUUGGCAGUUGCCGUAUCUGAGGUAACUUGCCUUUAUUUGUUUGCUUCUGAGUUAAGGACACCAACAUUUGCCAGAGAUUUAGAGAAUCAUCUCAAAACACUUAGCAAACUUGACAAACUUCAAGAUGCACUUGCCCCCACGCCUUAUUCUCAACAACGCAAAACUUGUGAGUACACCUAUGCCUGCAAUUAUUGUGAAGUGUUCGCAAUUCUGAUGCAGAGAAAUGGUUUCUUGAUGCAAAGUAUUAAACUGUUAAGAUUUAUCCUGCAGGCUUGUUAGAUGUUGUAUACUCGAAAAGCCAACAACAUCAAGAACUACAACUCCAAGACCAACUUUGCGUUAAUUCAGUCAGCUGUAAAAAUGAUGCAAAUGACACUAUAUCAAGCUGGACUUAGAGACUAGUCAGAUCAAUCAUCCAUUUCAUCAACGGUUAAUGUCAUGAUGGUGGCUAUCAGAGGAAACAAAAGAUGUGUCAGAAUCUAUACGAACAUUGAGAAGCAUGAGAGGAGCUUUGAUUUUGAGUAGGGUCAAUGAACUCAUGUUGGUAAGUGGUGAUUAAAGAAAUUUGUAAGCUUAGUAGAGUUUCAGUAUUUUCUGUUUGGAGUAUAGUUGAUAAGUUGACUCUGUUUAAGAAGCCCGAUUAUAGUAGCUGACUGUAUUAACCUUUUUUUUUUUGGUCUGCUGUUGUUUUUGGUUUCGAUUAUUUUUUCAACAUUGGGUUGAUCUGUUGAAGAACAAGCUUGGGUUUGAUUAUGUUUUAACUAUAAGGAAGAGCCAGACUUGGUUGCAGGCGUUAAGCUUUUAAUGGGUAAGAACAAAUGAAUGCUUUAACCAUGUUUCUCACUUAUUAAAAUGCAUGGAUUGAAGGCAUCUGGGUUGAUCCUGACAAUGUGAUGGAAAUACUUCUCUGUUUUCAUGUAACAGGACAAAUAGAGAUCUCUGAUCAUGCCUGAAUUUUUGUUGCAUUGAAAUUUCUACCAUUACCAAACAUAGAAUGAACUGGGGAUACAUUAGCUUAAGACUCAAUUUUGAGAAGGAAGUUUGUACUUGCAGCCUAUAAAAUCAUGUCCGUGUCGUACGUUUCUUUGGGAAAUGAAAGAUUCUGUGUGUUCUUUUAUUUCAAGUUCACUGAAAUCACAUUUGUUUUCUCAGCUGCUUUCCAGAAGGUAACAACAUCAAUUUCAAAAAUGCUGGGGCAAGAUGUAUCAUGCAGUGCGACUCAACUUGAGAAUUCCUGGCCACAUUACCCGUAUGUCUAAUGAUCGCACAGUACAACCUUGAGAAGCUUGUAAUGAGUACACAACUGGGUGCAAGUAGUUUUGAAAUGAAUUUGCCUCAAAUGAUUUCUUGCCGGUGAUUAAUAUAACCUCUAUUCCAAAAUUCUUAGAACUGGUCAUACUAGCAAUGAAGGAUUGCAUACAUUGAAGACAUAGCUGAAGGCCUUGCGAGAGCUCUGUCAGCCCUUGUACCGGAAAACAGCUGGUCGUAGUCGCUUGUGAAUGAUAUGAUUAAUAGAUACUGCAAAAAUGAAUUGUGCCAUACGUUUUCAGCGCUCUGUGAAGAUGUCUUGGUCAUUUGUUUGAUGCUUGUUUGAUUUAUGUUGUAUUCAGCCAUAAAUCAGAGAUUCAGAACUUGGGUAUGUUUCUGGUUUCCAAAUCAAAAAAUUGCCUUGUGAUGUUAGUGUUCACUGUUUUCACAGGAGAUCAGGUUCCUUGUUAAUGAAUCAAGAAGAAGGCAAGCGCAUCCAUGUCCAAGUUCAAAUGUGUCUCCUCUAUUUUCUAUUACCCACUCAUUUAUUUUGAUUUCUUCAUUGUAAUUGAAUUAGUUUUUUAUUCCAAAUUAGUCAAAACCUCGUAGAGUCAUUAAGUUCUUUUAGCAUUUAAAGACAGAACUACGAACCAAAUGAUUUAAGUUCUUCGUUGUAAUUGAAUUUGCUUUCCCAUCUUUAGAGAUAUUAUGUUCUUUUUCACUUUUUCGAUUUGGUUAGUGGUGAUUUCUUAAAGACUCAAUCCAUUUGCGUUAAUACAUUUUUCUUUUGCCUUGAUUUCUGUUUCUUGGGGAGUUUAUACAUAUUAUUAUUUUAUGCUACACAUGCCAUAUACAGAUUCUUAUUUUAUGCUUCACAUGCCACAUAAAAGGUCAAAGCCUUGUGUGUGAUUAGAAUUUACUGGCAUCAUAGUAACUUUAAACCAUUGUGACGUUUUAGUAAUAACAGUUUGAGCUCUCCCUGAAGGAUUCAAAGCAUUUUAUUUUAUAUUAUACUCCUUUAUAUGGUUUGGCUGGUCUCUUUUAAGGCAAUUCCUGUUUAAAGUAAUCAAAAUUUUGAUUUCGAAGUGUCUUUCAACACUACCGCUAGUUCUUUAAGAAAAGUAAAUCGAUUUUGAGUCUUCUGUAUCAUCUGAUUGAAAUACAUGAAAGCACUCUUAGCUGCAAAAGUACACUUGGAGUUAUAAUAGCAUUCUGAAAUCUCCUUGAAGGAUUCAAAAGCUCUUUAUUUGCUAGUCUUUGCUUGCAAUAAACUCCUUUAAUAUAGAUUGGUUGAUCUUCUUUAAAGCAAUUACCAUAAGUUCUUUAAAUAAUAAAACGACUUUGAGUCUUAUGUAUCAUCUUGUUGAAAUACAUGAAAGCACUCUUGGCUGUAAAAAUGCACUUGGGGUUAUAUAUAAAGUCUUCAACAGAAUUUUAUUUCCCCCUUUAUCCUCAUGGUGGUCUUUUUAGUUGUUUUUUAAGAAAUCGCUUGAAGGUUCUCUUUAAAAAUAAUUUUAACAUAAGCAUUCUUUAGAAGCACUUUAGAUGUCUGGCAUUUAGAAAAUUUUGUUCCUGUGUUCACAUAAUAUAAUAUAUAUAUAGAAAGCUGACUGUAGAAUAGAGGAGAACGAGUUGGUGUUGGUCUGAACUCUGAUCUUUGAAUCUCAUGUGACUCCACUACUUUUUACUUGUUCUGUACAAGGUCUUUUAGCUUUUCAAAAAGUUUUAGCUUUAUGGAUAAAAUACUGUUAAUUGUAAUCUAUAAAUAAUGAAAGGAAUUAAUAAAAUAUUUGGUAAAUUUUAUUUUCUAAAGUGUUAUGAGUUCUAAAACGGCUGUAUGUAUAUAAAUUUAUUUACACAUAUAUUUAUAAAUAUGAUUAUAUAAUAAUAUUUUAUGUGUACAUAUCAUAAUUGAUAACUAAAAUAAAUAUUUUUAUUUUAUUAAUGGUUUUUCCGUCUCAAUGUAGUUGGUAAUAAUAAUCUCUUUAGAUGUAAUGAUUUUAUUUCCUAACUGAAUAAGGAAAAUUUUAGAUUUUUAUAAUAAAUGUUAAAUAUAUCUAGAAUUACAUUAAGUAUGAAAUAAUCCUCAAAAUUAGAUUUUGAAAAGUUAUUCUUUUAUUACUUUUAAAAAUAUGUCAUAUGAUGAGAUGAUUUUAUUAAAAGUGAUUUUUUUUUAAAAAAAUUACUAAACAUCAAAAUUAACUCUUAACUUUUUAAAAUCAUUUCUAAUCUUCUCAUCCUAAGUUCUUUAUUGUUUUGUACAAAAUCCAAGGUUUUUACUUUUAUAAAAUGCCCACUCAAAAAUAAAUUAUUUUCUAAUUAAGAUUUGUUGUUAAUGUAUACCUCGAAGUAAUAUUAGAUAUUUGUAAUUUUAUUUCAAAAAUUUUAUUCAAAUGAUAUGGCAAGCAAUGAACAAUAGUUGAUAGCAAUUUUUUUUUUUUAAACAAUGUUCAAAUCAAUCAGUUGCAUUAUCUCACCAUUUUUAUGAUGUCAUGUUAUUUUAAAUGAUUUUUUUAAUUUUUAUAUAAAACAUACGACGUGUUAACAUCAUUUGCAUAACUUGACCUUUUUUUUUUCCUACAAAUAGUAAGUCAAAUUUACUCACCCUAUUUCUACCUAAAACUCAUGCAUCACUGUAAAACAAAUCCAAAGAUUGCGAUACGUUUUUCUUGGCAAGAAAUCAAUAAUUAGGUCAAGUACUACUACUAAGCGUGCACAAUUAAUUCUAAAAUACGGUGAUCAAAAUCAUACUUGACGCAAGAGGAUAAGGGCUGAACUUCAAUUAGGCAUUAUUCAUCCAAAAUUCAUUGACUCGGCAUUCUUUGCAAGUUGUAGCAUGGGACAGCUAAGAUAAUUAGCAAAUGAUAUGGACCAUAUGCACCCAUACAUUUCCUUUAAUGCCAACUCUUCAUUGAAUGAUUAUCAGAUCCAAUACGCAUCCUUUGAUUGGAUUAUUUUAAGUCAAUUAUUGGUGGAUUGGGGCCCACUUGACUCUACCAAAUCGGGCUCCACCAUAUCACCUAUUAACGACCACCUGUCCUUAUCAUAAAUAGCAAAUGUCACUUGUUUUAUUUUGUAUUUUACCAAAAGCAAAGUCACUAUGAACCCAAAUGAAAGUGACCUCAAUUUUGGGGGUCAUGAACUUUGGAUUAUUAUGGACACAAGAGACAAGCGCAAUGUUUCUCAUUUAUCACUGGAUAAGAUUUAAGUUAUCAACCCAAUAUUAAUAAAUUCUGCUUGAAAAGUAAAGUUUGAAGCUUCAUUUUGCGAAUAUUCAAUGGUUAACAUUUAAGUAAUUAACCUGAUAUUAAUCUAAUUAAACUUUUUAUGUUAUCCAAGUCAAACAUAUAUUGAUAAACCUAAAUUAAUCUAAUUGGACAUAUUAUUUCAACUUGAAAAGGUGAAUCUAUCAUUUUUCAAUUAAUUUUGAAUCAAGCUAUGUAAAAUAUAAGCUUAUUAAAGACAUAUUUGAAAAAUUCAAAUUGAAUUAUUUGACAAUUACAUUUCAACUAAGUUGUACUGCUAAUUAACUUCCUCAACUUAAAAUGUAUUGUUCUCAAUUAAUUCGUAACAAAGAAUGUUAGAUGUUUUGUUCGAAUAAUAACAUUCAACAUCCUUAUUCUUUAUGAUUAUUGCAUAAAAAACAUAUUUUAUCCAUUUACGUCACUAUCGAAAACUUUGAACAGUCAAUACAAAUGCUUCCGUUUCAUCCCAUAAACAAAUAAAAUUCACAUCUGUACACAUCUACUUUGCUUUGCUAGAUAGAGUUCCUCUGCAUUUCCCAAUUGCCUAAAGAGAAGGGGAAAAGAAAAAGAGGGCCAAAAAAUGCCUGAAAUGGUAAGGAACAAGCAAGUGAUAUUGAAGAACUAUGUGUCUGGUUUCCCAAAAGAAACAGACAUGCACAUGACCGAAAGUUCCAUAGAAUUGAAGGUGCCAAAAGGUUCAAAUGGGGUUCUUUUAAAGAACUUGUACUUGUCCUGUGAUCCGUACAUGCGACCAAGAAUGACCUACAUCGAAGGAUCUUACGUUGAAUCCUUUAAACCUGGCUUGGUUAGUGCACUCGCUCAUGGCCACGCUUUUCAUUUCCAUGGCUUCUUGCUCUUUUGUUAUAGAAAAUUUAUUUUUGGUUGCAGUUUGGUUCGACUGCUAAAAUCUCGUGCGAUAAUUGUAUAAGAUAUCUAGAGUUUGAACUUCUUUCACAUUAGGGUUCAAGGAAGUUAACUUAAAUGAUUUUCAAAAUUUUAAAUGUGUACCAAUGAAUUUAAUUUCAUAGCUUAAACUUAUAUUUUGAUCAUACUCUAACUUUGGACAGGAAAAAUUAUAUUUUUCCUUUAGUUCUUUGACUUGGAGUAUGUUGUGUGAAGUACUUGUGCUUGAAAAUGAAUUGCUGACACAGAAAUUUCUAUGAAUGCAUGCAGCCCAUAAGUGGAUAUGGGGUGGGUAAAGUUUUGGAUUCAGAGAAUCCAGAGUUCAACAAAGGUGACUUGGUUUGGGGAAUGACUGGAUGGGAAGAGUAUAGUCUCAUUACGGCUCCACACUUGUUUAAAAUUCAACACACAGAUGUGCCUCUUUCUUACUAUACUGGAAUCCUCGGUAAACUUUUUGUUUGCGCAAUUUAUGUGAGCAAAUUGUGUCUUCUUUUUCAUAUGUAAAUGUUUUUGAUAUCUUGAUGUGAAGGUAGAAAAUUGCAUGUUUUGAGUUUUUGCAUAUUUGAUGGAAACACAGAACUGUACCUGAAUCUUUCAGAACCCCCUUUUCUUUGAAGUUUGAACACUUUUCUUGAAUGUAUCAACUUUAUUUAUGGGAUAUGUUGCCAAAUUGGCAAAUCUAUUCGUUAUAAAACUUUCCUUUGACAGUUUAAUCUAAGCAGAUGUUAAUUCUGCAAAUAGAGUGUGCCUUAGAUUAGUUUCAUAGAUUUGUCUCCUUCUGUACAGUAAAAACUUUGAGCAUUUUCGCCAUAUUCUGAUCAAUACACUCCAACUAGUUAGUUCUUGAGGCGUUUUAUGGUUUUGUGGAGUGAGGCAAGAUGUAUACGUUUGCAAAUUGGCAAUGUCUUUUGCUUGAUGGGUUGAGAGUUGUGAGUGUCAAUAGGAAAGUCUCAAAGUGCGCAGUGCUCACUUGAGCACCCAUAUUACUUGGUGACCUGUUGCCUCAGCAAACAGGACCUCUGUUUUAUGAACUCCAAAAAGUUAUUCUGUUAAAUAGAUCGAGACAGAGGCCAUACUAUAUUUAUUAUUGCUACAAAAGUGUGAAACAAUAUUCUUUAUUUAAUAUUCUAAACAAUUGAGCCAUUUAGUUAUGAUACUCUGCUGUAUUGGGGCUAAUAAUCUAAGUCGGUUCAAAGUGGUAAAUUUAUAAAUUGAUAGGUAUGCCUGGUAUGACCGCUUACGUUGGAUUUUAUGAGGUCUGCUCUCCUAAGCAAGGAGAGUGUGUCUUCAUAUCCGCCGCAUCUGGUGCAGUUGGACAGCUUGUGGGCAAAGUUAUUGGGUUGCUAUGUCGUCGGAAGUGCUGGAAGCAAAGGCAAGGUAUGUAAUCUGUGUGAAGUACUUGCUUGUUUCCAUGUUACUUUCAAACAUUUAAAUUAAAAAGGAAAUUUUCAUAAUCUUGCCUUUUCUAUGAUUUUCAAAACCAAGGUUGAUCUACUGAAGAACAAGUUUGGGUUCGACGAGGCAUUUAACUAUAAAGAAGAAGCUGAUUUGAAUGCUGAUUGUUGGGAAUUUGAUUAUUCUAGGUAUGCCUGGUGUAACUGCAUACGCUGGUUUAUACGAAGUUUGCUGUCCGAAGAAAGGAGAGUAUGUCUAUGUAUCUGCAGCAUCUGGAGCUGUUGGUCAGCUUGUUGGACAGUUUGCAAAAUUAGCUGGUUGCUGUGUUGUUGAAAGUACUGGAAGCAAAGAAAAGGUGCUGUUAUAACAUUCUUAAGUAGUAAAUAUAGCACCGUGCCUUCUACCAGAAUUUUACAUGCUUUAUGUUCCAACUAAGCAUCCAUAUAUGAUCGUGAUAAUUAGCAAGGUCAAUAAUUUUUUUUUGACUAUUUUUUCAAUGUAAGGUCGAUUUGUUGAAGAACAAGUUUGGACGAUGCUUUUAACUACAAGGAAGAGCCAGACUUGGAUGCAGCACUCAAAAGGUCAGCUCCAACAAACGUUUCAACUCUAAUAUUUCAUUUUAAUAUUACAGAGCUUUGGUUGAAGUGUGUGAUUUGAUCCCAGAAAUGUAACUUCAUCAGUGUCUCUGUUUUCAAAAAACAGGACAAAUAGAAAUCUGAUUUUGCUUUAAAAUUUCCCAGAUGCUUCCCUCAAGGAAUCGACAUAUAUUUCGAAAAUGUUGGGGGAAAGAUGCUGGACGCAGUGCUACUCAACAUGAGGCUCCGGGGCCGCAUUGCGGUAAGCAGUAUCAUCUCACAGUACAACCUGGAAAAACCCGAAGGCGUACACAACUUAGAGCAACUGAUCGGGAAACGGAUUCGCCUGGAAGGAUUUAUAGCUGGGGAUUACUAUCACCUCUACCUGAAAUUCUUGGAAUUGGUCAUUCCUGCAAUCAGAGAAGGAAAGAUGGUGUAUGUGGAAGACAUAGCCAAAGGACUCGAGAAAAUUUCUCGUAACUGCUACACAUUAAACGCAUUUCACAUUUCCACUCUCUCUCUAUAAAUAAAUACGCACAUAAAAUUUGUCACCAUCCAAAAACAAAAUCUACAUAAAAAAUGGCGGGUGAAGAAGCAGUGAGCAACAAGCAGGUGAUUCUGAGCAACUACGUGACAGGGUUUCCCAAAGAAUCAGACAUGAAGAUAAUAACAGGCUCAAUAAACCUCAGGUGCCAGAGGGUUCAAAAGACGCAGUGCUUUUGAAGAAUCUUUGUCUUUCCUGUGAUCCUCACAUGAGAGGACAUAUGAGCGAGCUUGAUAAGCCUUGGUUUGUUGCCUCGUUAAAGUCUCGAAAAUCCUGAAGGUAUCGACAUCUAUUUCGAAAAUGUUGGGGGUAAGAUGCUUGAUGCAGUGCUACUCAACAUGAGAAUUUGUGGCCACAUCGCUGUAUGCGGAAUGAUCUCACAGUACAACCUUGAGAAGCCUGAAGGUGUACACAACUUGAUGCAAGUAGUUGGAAAACGAAUUCGCAUGGAAGGAUUUCUUGCCGGUGAUUUCUACCACCAAUAUCCAAAAUUCUUGGAACUGGUUAUGCCGGCAAUCAAAGAAGGAAAGUUAGUAUAUGUCGAGGACAUAGCUGAAGGCCUUGAGAAAGCUCCAUCAGCUCUAGUUGGGGUAUUCACUGGGCAGAAUGUUGGAAAACAACUGGUUGUAGUUGCUCGGGAAUGAUAUGAUUACUAUAUGACCAUACACUUUAAAAGCUUAGUGAAGAUGCCUGUGUCUUAUUUGUGAUACAUGUUAUGUUUGUUUGAUCAAGUUGUACUCAGCUAUAAAUCAAAGAUUCAGAACAUGUGUAUGACACUGGUUUCUAAAUCAAUGAACGCUUUCAAAUGUUAGUAUUUUCACAGGAGAAUGCAAUUUAAUUUAUCAACGAUGUCCCAACAAGACCCUCAGAACUGUAGCUUGUAAAGUUAAUUACCAUAUUUUUUUCUUUCCAAUAUAUUUGCUUAUUUCAUAGAAAGUUUACAUUAAAGUCUCAUGUUUCUUUGAAAGGUAAGCAAGUGUGAACGUUUCAAUCUAGAGCUGGAAAAUGCAUUUCCGGGAACUUACUUGAUAAAUGAAGUUUUCAUCUCUGACCUUGAUGUUUCCCACAGGUGCAUUCAUUUCAGCUGAUCUAUAUAAUUUUGUUUUCGAAGGAGAGACACAAAAUCUCCGUUGUUAAGGGGAGAAUUUAGAGUGGCUUUGACUGUUAACAAAUAGCCUAAUGUAAGACUUAACCAACUUCCUGCCCUGUUGUAUGCUUAUGAAUUUUGAUAGAGCUAAGAGUUUGCAGAAGCUAUUGUAUUAUAUGUCGUUAGAGGCUGUAAACAUCAAACACAUUUAAAUUUCAAUGAAAAUUUACUGGAAGUAAAUUUCCUUUGAUCCCACAGGUGACUAAUUAAUGAGAACUUGACAAUGACAAAAGAAAGUGUAUGAACUUUGCAGGCUGGCAUGCCAAUAUUGACUGGGUGGCACCAUCCACCAUCUGCAAGUGAAUAUCAUUGUUGUUUAAUCAACAAGGUGGAGUCCACUGGGACCACACCACAUCGUCAGCCUUAUCUCUAUUCCUCAAUUUUCAGUAUUCCAUACAUCAAAACAAUUUCAGUUUUGUUAUCAAUUAUAAUUUCAUUGUUGGUGACGAUUCUGAUUCCUUUCUUUCUGACAAAACGGAACCAUGGUUGCUGUGGGAGAGAUCUUACUCAACGCCUUCUUUCAGGUGUUGUUUGACAGGUUGGCUUCCCGUGAUUUUCUCAGCUUUGUCCGUCAACUUGGAGGCGGGGUCGAUUCCGAGCUCAAGAAGUGGGAAAGAAAGCUGAAGCUGAUUCAGGCGGUGCUCAACGAUGCAGAGGAGAAGCAACUGACUGACGAGGCUGUGAAGAUGUGGCUGGACGAUCUCCAAGACUUGGCUUAUGACGCUGAGGACAUUCUUGAUGAGUUUGCUACUCAAGCUUUGGAAAGCAAGUUGAUGGCGCACAAUCACGAUAGUUCUGGCCAGGUUCUCAGUUUCAUCCCGGCUGGUUUGAAUCCGAAUGCUAUUAUGUUCAAUUAUAGCAUGGGGUCCAAGAUUAAAGAUAUUACUAGCCGGCUGGAGCAACUCUGCCAAGAAAGAAUUGAACUUGGACUGCAACGGAUUACUGGAGGGGCAUCAUCAACUGCUGCUGCUACACAGCAGAGGCCGUCCAGUUCGAGUGUCCCAACAGAACGUGAAGUAUUUGGAAGAGAAGAAGAUAAGGCCAAAAUUCUUGAUAUGGUACUGGCCGAUACUCCAAGUGUUCAUGCCGACUUUGUUGUAAUACCCAUUGUUGGCAUGGGCGGGAUAGGAAAAACAACUCUCGCUCGGGAGGUUUACAAUGACAAGGCCGUUGGAGAUUCCAAGUUUGAUGUAAAAGCAUGGGUUUGCGUAUCUGACGUCUUUGAUGUUUUGGGCAUCUCAAAGGCACUUCUCGAGUCAAUCACCCGCAGGCCUUGUCUUCUAAACAGUUUAAAUGAAGUGCAGGUUGAAUUGAAAGUAGCUGUGGAUAAGAAAAGAUUCUUGCUGGUCUUAGAUGAUGUUUGGAACGAGGACUACAGCUUGUGGGUAGACUUAAAAGCUCCGUUCCUGGGUGCUGCACCAAACAGUAAGAUGAUCGUCACCACACGGCAUAAAGAUGUGGCCUCAAUAAUGGGACCCAUUGAUCAUUACGGUCUCAAGCCUCUGUUAGAUGAUGAUUGCUGGUCCAUUUUCAUAAAGCAUGCAUUUGAAUCUAGAGAUCUUAACGCACAUCAAAUUUCAGAAUCAUUCCGCAAGAAAGUUGUUGCCAAGUGUGGAGGCUUGGCCCUGGCAGCAAAAACACUCGGAGGCCUUCUGCGUACGACGAGGCUUGAUGCGUGGGAUGAUAUAUUAGAGAGCAAAAUAUGGGAUUUACCUCAACAAAGUGAGGUUCUCCCAGUAUUUAGAUUGAGUUACCAUCAUCUUCCUUCUCAUUUGAAAAGAUGUUUCGCUUACUGUGCAAUCUUUCCAAAAGAUUAUGAAUUCAAUGAGAAGGAGGUGACUUUUUUAUGGAUGGCCGGAGGUAUUAUUCGACAGUCCAGAAGCAAAGAGCGGCUAGAAGAUUGGGGCAGCAAGUGCUUCUAUGAUCUGGUGUCAAGGUCAAUUUUUCAGCAAACAGCAAUCUCUGAUAGUUCUAAAUUUGUAAUGCAUGACCUUAUUCAUGAUCUUGCUGAAUCGGUCUUUGGAGAAACCAUAUUCAGGUUAGAGGAGGCCAAUACUCAGUCAAGAAGAUUUGAAAGGGUUCGUCAUUCUUCCUAUGUUUGUGGUGGACGUGAUGGUAAAAAUAUGUUCGAGGUUUUCAAUGAAAUUGAACGUCUCCGAACAUUCUUGCCAUUACGCUUACGCAUAAGAGGUGGCUCUAAUACUAGUUUCAUAACUCGUACGGUUCUAUCUGAUUUGCUGCCGAAGUUCAAAAUGUUGAGAAUGCUAUCUUUACAAGGAUACCGUAUCGGUGAGUUACCAAUUCCGUUUGAAGAUUUGAGACUUCUAAGGUUCCUCAACCUUGCUGACACUGACAUAAGAAGUUUACCUGAGUCAACAUGCAAAUUGCUGAACUUGGAAAUUUUGAUAUUAAGAAAUUGUUCCCGUUUGAUAAAGCUUCCGCAGAAAAUGAGGAAUUUGAUCAAUUUACGUCACCUCGAUAUAAGAGGUGCGAAGUUGCUGAAGGAGAUGCCAUUCGGAAUGAAAGAGUUGAAGAAGCUUCAAACAUUGUCCAAUUUCAUCGUGGGCAAGGGCGAAACUGCAUCUGGUUUGGAAGAUUUAAAAUGUUUAAACCUUCUUUGUGAUGAACUUUGCAUUGCUGGAUUAGAGAAUGUGAAUAAUCCACAGAAUGCAAGAGAAGCCGCAUUAUGCGAGAAGCACAAUCUUGAAGCACUGACUCUAGAUUGGGGGUCUCAAUUUGACAAUUCUCGAGAUGGAGUAGUAGAAGAGCAUGUACUGGAAAUUCUACAGCCUCAUAAACGUAUAAAAAAGGUGGCAAUCAGGAACUAUAGAGGUGCAAGAUUUUCACAUUGGAUAGGAGAUCCUUUGUUCUCCAAAAUAGAGUUCCUUGAAUUGGAGAACUGUGACAAUUGUGUAUCUUUGCCAUCGCUUGGCCGUUUGAAUUCACUUAAGCACCUUGCUGUUAAAGGGCUGAAGAAACUAAAAAGCAUAGAGUCUGAGGUUUAUGGGGAGGGUUUCUCAAUGCCUUUUUCGUCACUGGAGAUUCUAAGUUUUGAGAAUUUGCCAGAAUGCGAGCAUUGGGACACCAAUAUCAAAGGAAAUGUGCUUGUUGAAAUAUUUCCUCGUCUCCAUAAACUUUCCAUUGUGGAAUGUCCCAAACUCUCCGGAAAACUGCCUCAGCUCCUGCCCUCCUUGAAGACACUUGUUGUUAGUAAAUGUGAAAAGUUGGUAGUUCCAUUGUCAAGCUAUCCGAUGCUCUGCAGAUUAGAAGUUGAUGAGUGCAAAGAGCUAGUGUGCAGGACUCCAAUUAAUUUUGAGUUGAUAAAGUCUGUGACUAUUUCAAAUAAUUCAUUACGCAUGAAUGGACGCAAGGGGAUGCUAUGCCAUGGUCCAGCUGGCUCUUCACUGCAGAAACCCAAGACUAUUAUGAAUGUUUUGGAGUUUGGAAAAUUAUUGAAGCCUGGAUUACAGAUAUUAGAAACUUUGGUAAUUGGCAAUUCUGAACAGCUCAAGGAUUGGAGUACUUUUAUUGAACCAGGGCUACAUUUGCUCGCUCACAAUGAGGAGGUAUCAAUUGAAGAAAGUUGCGUACGUCUUGUUUCGGUUCCAGAGAUCAAUUUCUUUCCCAGAAAUCUGCGCUCUCUUCGAAUUUGCAACAGCACUGCUUUGAAAUCCUUACCCGAGGAAAUGAUGGAAAACAAUUCACAACUCGAAAGAUUGUAUAUCAGAGAUUGCGACUCUCUAAUAUUCAUCGCAAGACGGAGGCUACCAGCAUCUCUUAAAUGGCUUGAGAUCAGAAACUGUGAGAAAUUGCAACGUCUGUUCGAUGAUGAAGAGGAUGCUUCUUCUUCUUCUUCUCCUUCAUCCUCGUCUUCCCCGGUGAUGCUGAAACACAUGAGAAUAGAGAACUGCCGAGAGCUCACCAGUUUAUCAUCGGGUGUCCAAUUCCUUGAGGCGCUUGAAGACCUCGAAAUACAGGGUUGUCCAAAGCUGGAGUCAUUACCGGAUGGCCUGCCCAAUCUUAAAUGUUUACAGAACAUUAAUAUACUGGAAUGUCCAAGUCUUGUUUCCUUCCCAGAAAGAGGGCUUCCCAACGCCAUUUCAAAUUUUUGCAUUUGCUUAUGCGACAAGCUUGAAGCCCUGCCCAAUGACAUGCACAAACUCAACUCUCUUCGAGGUUUAAGCAUACAGAUCUGUCCAAAUCUUGUAUCGUUUCCAGAAGAAGGUUUUCCUACCAAUCUAACAAUCCUUGUAAUUGGAGAUUUCGAAUUGUAUAAGACACUCGUCCAGUGGGGGUUGCACAGGCUUACCUCUCUUAGAGAACUCUGGAUUGCUGUAAGUGAAAAUGAAGUAGAGUGUUUUCCAGACGAGGAGAUAGGAAUGACGCUGCCCACCUCUCUCACUCAUCUGUCCUUUAAUGCAUUCCAAAAUUUGAUAUUUCUGUCUUCAAUGGGUUUUCAAAACCUCACCUCUCUUCAAUCUUUGUUGAUCGGGAAUUGCCCGAAUCUCACAUCAUUCCCAGAGGUGGGC
rnacentral:lncRNA from 1 species